rnacentral:lncRNA from 1 species
GAUGUUGGUCUUGCAUUACACCAUAAGCACUCUAUGCCUUAACCCUAACCUUGCAAACGUUUUCUUUUUGGAGAAUGUUGCAAACAAAAAGCACUUUGUGACAAGCUGCGGAGCGACCUUAUCAAGGUAUGCAGCUAGCAAUCUCUCAGCUUUCAUUGUUUAAGCUAGUAGUAACUUUUGCAAGCUAUGUACAUGAUGUAAUGUAGCUAACAAUUCUUCAUGCAAGUGUGUUACAUAGCACUCACAAAAUGCAUGUAACUUAUUAUACUUAUGUCCAUUGGUCCCCACUCCAUCUCUAUAUAUACUCGUAUGUGCGUUUUCUUCAGAAUUCUAGAUAUAUUCCUUCAGCUAUUUCACUGUCAUAUUUGUCUUGAGAAUAUCUGUAAUGACUUGUCUAGUCAAACUCUACGACAUCCAUCCUACGGAAAGAGAAAAAAAUUUGAGACAACCCAACUAUUGGUGUAAUGCAUAUCCAGAACUUGAAUUGUAUGGUAUCCCUGCCUAAAUUAGUACAUUUAGUACAUGUUUGGUUACUCAUUAAGCCAUCAGCAGUUUCUGGAAGUAUAUAAAUGAGCUGCAACACAUGGCGUAGCCUUUGUCUUAAAUUUUGUUGGCAACACCGAACUGACUUGACUAAGCAAACACAUAUUUGCCCUAAUUUUCUUGGUGCACGGAGGAGAUGUCAGAACCCAGUACAGAUCCAGAAUAUACUUCUACAUGGCGCAUUUUGAAAUAGGCACCUCAAGUUUCAAAAUCGAGGUUGUACAACCAAACCCUACCGUAUGUUUAGUUUAAGUACCUAAGCACGAAGCCUUUUCGACGAAAACAGUAAUGUUCCUGCUGGAAUUUUACAAAAAUCAAAGCCGUAAAAUUUUUUAAAAAUUAAAUUUCAGAUAAGAUAUUUUGAAAUGCGCUACAUGUUUUACUAUCUUUAUCAGCUGGGUAGCUUUCACCAAAAUUACCGACCUGUCAUACAACUAUUUACAAUAACUUUACAGAUAACAAUGUACCAUAGUAGUGGCAUGCUUUUAUAUUCUACAGAUUUCCCUUGUACAGUGUAGAAUGAACGGCUACUUGAAAGGUGAAAUGAAAAUAAUUGUAUGAUCUUAAAGUUUCCUUUCGCUCUGUCCAUUCUUCUUCUUUUCUUUCAUGUCCAGGUUUCUUCUAUUCUCUUCUGAUGAAGUAAUGGGAUAUGCGCUGUACUCGUAAGUUGUAUGUGAAGUGUUUUGUUGGUGCUCUCGUGGGUGUGAAGGAACCUUAAAGCACCUGGGACCUUACAGUUUCUAUCAUCUUUCAUCUUUAUACAGGUAAUAGAUAUAUGAUAAGGAGCGUGUCGAUAAAGCCAUCGACUGUCCCGUCAUUGAUUGAACAUCGCACCAACCAGCUGAGGUAGAGAAGGGGGGGCUAUCUGUUAUCUGAUGGACGAUAAAAAUGAAGUAAUCAGAUCAGUUCCUUUCAGGCAAAUGUUUCUUUCACACAGCUUUUGCUUUCCUCUAUAUAUUUGAGCUUUUGAUUACUUGGAAAUCCUAAUCUAGCAGAGCUGUUCAAGGUGAUGCUUAUGCUCUCACCUAGAAGUCAAAAUUUCAAUUUGUAAUGUUCUGCACCUUUGAUUUCGGAUUAGCAUAAAGGAAUUGUUUCAGAAGUCAAAACUUCAAAAAUUAUAUAUGAAAAAAGUUCUUAAAUUUCUUUCCAUUUCUCGUACUUUAUAAGUUCCUAAGAUCUUUACUCAAACGAAAACUGUUAGUGUUUUUUUGAACAUCUCUGAAGAAGCUUCAGUCGAAUCAAACAAACCCCAAUCAGGUCCGCCAAGUCGCGGUUAUGUGCUAAAUGCGACAUUGUUCCUUUAAGGCCCAUCUGAAUCAGCAAUUUCAAAAGCUUGUCUCCUGACCCACCUGUUCGGUGUGUUCCGUUUGGAAAGGAAGCAUAUUUGUCAAAAGAUGAUAGGAGGAAGCAGGAUCAAUCCACUCAAUUCUUAUCCUUUCCAGUCAUGGUCUCCCCCAUAUUUACCAUUUUCUGCAAUGAACACCAUCCUCACAUUCCAAGGACAUAGCACAUGAUUCGGACCAUAUAUCUCUCUUUCCAACCUGGUACAGAUCUCCAUUGUGAACUACUUUGUGUUUGUGCGCGUUCAUAAACUCUGCGCUUUCACUUGUUUACGCGUCUAAUCUGUAUCUUAUUUGAGAUUCUUUGCUUAUUUGGUUACGAAAGCAUCAUGAUUUAACUCUGCUGAUCACUUAGCACCAUAUACAUGUUCGCGAUAUUUAACAAUGAAUUUGUCGGGUCCAUUUGUUAACCAAAUAAUCAUACGUGAUUAACUCCCUUAGCAGCUGCCUUUUCUGUUGUUGUACGGCUAAAACUGAGUGCAAAAAUAUUCUAUUAACUCCUUAAACCCCUAACAUGUGCUUGCUAAUUACUUGUUCUAUAAUUUAUUCACUAAUCUCAAUUAUAGGAGACCACUUGACCUCUGCAGUGUAUUGGAGACCCAACUUGGGAAUCUUUUGGAGUAAAUGUGGACUUCGUUUUUAGAUCUAGGUCGUAGAUCUCAGAUCAAUGGUGCUUUAUAUGAUUAUCUAUAUGAUUUAUUCAAAUAUUAAAUUAAAUUUUAUUUGAUUUAAUCUAAUGAUCAUGUAAAACAGAUCAUAGAUUAAAUCAAAUAAAAUGUAAAACAGGUCAUAGAAAAUAAUAAAUAUAAAUUAUUGUAGGUUGUACUCAUAACUGUCCCAUAUAUAGUCAAGCGCGUGCAAUGCGAGUAGAGUAAAAGAAUAACAAUUCAAACUAAAUGUUAAUUAAAUUAUAAUUAUAUAAAAUUUCUUUGGAGCCUAUAUAUUUUGAUGAUCACUGCUUCUGUAUAUACUAGGAAAAAUAUUUUAUGAGGUUGUAGAAAUGAUGAUGGUGACAAUUUGUGAUCAUAAAAGUAGAGCUCAUUAAGACACUGAAAUGUAGCUGUAAAGGAAAAUUUAUAAAUAUAUUAGCCAUGAUAACUCAGAGAAUAUUUACUAAACAAGUUAUAAUUAAUUAUCCUGCAAAGAUAUGCACUCAAAAUCAUAAGUUCACCCCCUAAAAGAAGGCGAAGGAUAUAAUUAACUAGAAUCUCGAAUUAUUUGUAAAGGGAAAGAAGCUCCAUCAAUGCAUGCUAAUUAAUUAAUUAGUUAAUUAAACAAGUGGUGUACUAUGAAGUCCUUUAGUAUAAUGGGGAUGUAUGAUCCCUUUGAUGUGCUUCUUCUUUAGCUUAAAAAUUAAGUGCUUGUUGUUGUAGUUUCCUUAUGUUAACAAAAUAGCUGCUAACUUUUAUAUUUAAAUCAUGUGAUGUUGAAGUAACCAAUUAUUAUAUACAUACCCCACUCAACCAUUGGUGAUCUAGCAAUUUAUACAUCACGCAUGAAUUUAUAGUAUAUAUCGUGAAGCAAGUGUACUAUCAAAUAUGUACCAUCAAAUAUAUCAAUAUUCUUGUCGACACGAAAAUAUUCUAUUUAAACAACUUGCAUAUACAAGGAUGAGAUUUCCCCAAACUUUUUAUUUAGUUGCUUCUUUGUCACGCUAAUUGUAACUAGAUCAUCGUGCUAACCCCCAUGUGCAUUGUAUUGUAGAUUGUUUUGGAUAAAAGAGAAAAAGCUAUUGAAAAGAAUAAAUUUUAAAAGAAGACCACACAAAAUGAUUCCCUGUAGUAGCAUUUGGGAAAAGCUAUUCCCACUACUACUAGAGGUGCAUUUGCCAAAUAAAUAAAGUAUCUAAUAAUUUUUAUGUAACAAAAAGCAGCUGGAAUUCUCUUUCGAAUUAACCGUUCGGCUGAAACAAUAUUUUUGUGUAAAUAUUAGUUUUUGUAUAGUAUUUUGUUGGAUCAAAUUCAAUAAAUCUAACAUAGCUAUAGAAAAAAUGGCCGUGUUGUUUAUACCAUUAACAACUCUUAUUUAAUAAAUCUAAUUAAAAUUUAGUCAAAAUUUACUAUAGGGUCAACAAUAUAUAUAUAUAUAUAUAUAUAUAUAUAUAUAUAUAUAUAUAUAUAUAUAUAUAUAUAUAUAUAUAUAUAUAUAUAUAUAUGUGUGUGUUUUUUUUUUCGAAAAAAGAGAAUANUCUAUAGGUUUAGUUAACUUAAAAACAAUCUUUUAAGAAAUUUGAUAAAUUUUGUUCUAGAUAUGAGAACUAGAACUAAUGUUCUGAGGAUAGUAGUAAAAAAUUUCUCAUAAGUAAAAGUCGGUAAGUAAAAAGAUAAGUGAACUACCUAUUUUCUUAUUAUAGCUUUCACGCACUUUAAACUAAAGAUCUAUUAAAUUUACCAAAUUUAGUAUAAAUUGCCUCUUACGCCGUUAAACUAGAAAACGCCUCUUAUCGACCAUUAAAAUUACAAAUUUUGAAACCCUUUGAUCAUUAGGCAAAUGAUGUCGAAAAGAUUUGAAAUUUGAUUUCUAAACACUUUAAGUGGUAUAGAUCAUGUUCAACGGAGCCGAUCGUCAAUUUGCAAGCUUUAUCAUCGAAAACAACUCGAUAGUAAAAUGUCCCGUUUACUAUCGAGAGUAUUCUAGCUCAACUCAUAUAUAUAUAUAUAUAUAUAUACUUUUCAUUGAUAAUAAUCCGAGUUGGGUUUUUAUAUUUAUAUAUACAUAAAUAAAUAAAUUGUGGUUGUUAGAAGUCAAAAAUAAGGUGACGUACAUUUCCUCCAAUAUGGGAAUCGGUUUACCUCGGUGGACCAGAGUCCACCGGUCCACCCGAAACCUUCAAAUCCCACAACGUGUGAGUGUCUCCGUCGUGCCACGUGGACCCAUCGACACCGCUCAUCAGGUGUGCCCACACCCCGAUGUGAUCCUUCGGUCCCCAAAGAAGCAAUUUGGGAACUUCUCCUGUAGAAACUAUUGCUUGCACCCGGUGUACCACACAUAACAGUAUAUAUGACAACUAUACUAUUUAAAGUAAUUUUGAAAAUUUAUUAUCUAGAUAUUAAGUAUAACGAAUUAUUAGAAUAUUUUUAGAUUCAUUUUGAAUCAGCAUCAUCAGAGUCCGUUCUAAGCUCAAAUUUUUAUUUUCACCAUUUAAUGGCACAAAUGACUCUGCACGUGAAUAGGGUUUUAGUUCAUGAGUUUUUUUCUUUUUCAGAUCGAUUUAUUAGUUAAUAGAUAUUACAUUUAUAAAAAAGAAAAUAAAAUUAAAAAAAGGUCAUGAAAUGGAGUUUCAGAUGUGUGGUCUAUGAGACAUACUUAUACACCCGGUGCACUCCAAAACCUUCUCCUUUUUAAGACCCAAAAAGGUACCACCGAAAGAGAGGACACGGUGGGCCCCAGCGGCCGGCCCAUGAUUUCCCACUACGCCACGAGCGGGUCCCACCACGUCCAUUUUGGGUCACCGCGACGAAUCAGGACCGUCGAUUUGGAGGCCUUUUACGAUGGACGGGUCUCAAUCGCCCCGCCUUUGUACCGACACCGCGAAUGGGUUAGGUUGGGCUCCGAUUACGGACUGGGUCCGAGUCGAUAAUCGAACGGCCAUGAUUGGGGGACCACGCACACAAAGUGGGAAAAUCCCUUUUUAUUAAACUUUUCCCUUAAUAAUAAUAAUAAUAAUCAUAAUCAUGAUAUCAUGGAGUUUGAUAAAUAUUAAAUAUAACCUCAUCAUCAUGUUUCCUUAAACCUUUUCCAAAAAAAAAAAAAAGGGUCAAGGAGAAUGUACUUGAUUAAGAACAAAUUAACCUAUUGAACUUUUAGUCCCUCUUUUAGUUCAUAUUCAAAAAGAUGUUCAAUGCAUUCAGGUACUUUCCCUUUUAGUGAUGAAAAGAUGCAUAGCAAAUAAUAAAAUAAAUUAUUAUGUUUGUGUCAAUACACCUGCAAUUUUACGAUUUCAUACAUACGUAAAAAUGUUGUGCACAUUCAAAUAUUAUGCUCACAAUGUUACAAACAUGCGUGCUUUCUCGUCAUUGUCACGUCUAUAAAUUAUAAAUUACUUACAAGCAAUAUCAUAAGUUUGUGGUUUAAGCCUUCUCUCCACUUCUAAUAAAAAGCUUGUUGUUCUUGAUCUCGUAUUAAUGUAAAAAUUAUUAAUAAUUUUAAAGAAAAACUACUCAAGCAGGCUGGUAUUGAUUAAAAUUUUGUUCUUCUCUUGGUUGUUUCUACUCCUUAAAAUUUCUCUCUCGACCCAACUCAAACCUCUCUUGAGCUUUUCGCGGCCAAGUUUUCGUCGGAAUACGAAAAACUUAAUCGAUUUGAAAUUAAAUACUUGAGCUUAUGUAAAUAAAUUUUCUCUGGAAAAAAAAAAUUGUAGGGAUGGUGACGAAAUUGUGAAAAUUUAGAAAUCAAACAGUUCAAGCCUAAUUUGAAACAAGAAUUGGAGGGAAUGGACUUGGACUUGACUCGAGCCUAAUCUAGAUUCAAUCAAGCUCAACUUGAUGCCAAAAUGAUUUAGAGCUUGAAAAGUGUGCAUAAGGUAGGUAAUUUGGCGCAUCUAGCAUUUAACAUUGCAAUGAUUUCUCCAAUGCCAAUGUUUCCAAUUAUAUAAUAAUAAUAAGAAUAAUAACAAAGACUUAAUUAUAUCACACCGACUGUUCCUAGCACAACUAACAAAGCGCUUGAUCGUUGGUAUCCGAGAUUCCAAGUUCGAAUAUAAAUUUAUUCACAUUUUUAACUAAGUUUAUUUUUAAAUGAAAUAAACAAAGCAGUGGCAUGCUACCUACCUCUCUUAAAAAAAACAAAAAAACAAUUUAAUCUAUUAAAAUAAAAUACGUAUGUUUCAUUUAAUAAAAUAAUAAAUAGAAUUAACUUUGGUACUAAGUACUACUAUUUUUUUGGCAUUAAAUUUCGAGUUCUUCUUAGACCUGGAUUUUUGGUGCGUAAACAAAUCCGAGAAUCGAGGGUUCCAAAGAUUCCGUUAUAAACCCAACAGAUAUCAACGUAACGGAAGUAUAAAAAAUAUAUAUAAUAAUAAUAAUAAUAAUAAUAAUAAUAAUAAUAAUUAUAAUUUUUCGUUCCCACCACGGCGUUGGUCCAACACUUUUUAUAUUCUACCCCCCUCUGAAAUUCGCAAAUUUUACUAAAGCCAUCACAUUAUUUUAAAGGUUAAUUUCAUACAUGUUUAUGUAAAUAUAGUAAGUUAUAAAUAUAUCACUAUAAAAUUUAAUUUUUAUAUGUUGUCCCUACAAAAGUCCUAAUAUUUUCAAAUAUAUACCUAACGUUUGAAUCCGUUAGAAAAUUUUAGUUAACCAUAAAUUAAAUACUUAACUCUGGUUAAUUUAUGAAAUAAUUUGAUAUUGUUGUUUUUCUUACAUUAUACUGUUGUGGUUUUUGGAGGAAUAUAUUUAUGAUGACAAAAAUUAUAUUUUACUUAAAAUAUAAAUAAUUCUAUAACGGUAACAAAUCGGAGGAAUAUAUUUAAAAAUACUAAAAUUUUUGUACGAAAAAUACAUAAAACUUGAAUUUUGUAGAGAUAUAUUUAUAAUUCACUAUAUUUGCAGGGAUAUGUAUCCAUUUAACCCUUAUUUUGAAGAUAAAAUGUAUUAUUGGUCCCUGCACCAUCUCAACGUUAACUUCGUUUCAAAAUUUUAACAUAUUUUAUACUUUUAUAUCAAAUAUUAAAAAUUAUUCUUUUAACAAUAAUAAAUACUGUAACUGAAAGCAUAGAAAGUUGCAAUUUCGGGAUAAUAGAGGGACCAGACAUAAAUUUUAUUAUCAUUUUAUUUUAUUUAAUUACACACCAUAAUCAAAAAACAUUUCCUUGGGAGAGCGAAAUCUAUAUCCGGGUGAAGAAGAGGCGGAGGAGAGAGAAAGCUCUCAACCGCUUCCCGCCCCUUCUCUCUCCUCCUCCCUUCCACUUUCUCUCUCUUCUCCCCACCUCCUCCCCGGCCCCCAAAAGAAACCCUAGAAAACCCUAAUCUCCCUCUCCCACCCUCAUCUCUCUCGCUCCCGUCGCAGGAACGAGAGAUUGGCGAGCUCCUCUCCUUCUCCUCGGUCGAUUCGUGCGGCGGCGCCCCAUCCCGGCGCCCUCUCUCGUCCGGAUUUGGUGCCCCGUCACCGAAAAAGCCCUAAUUUUACCUUGCUCUCUCUUCUCUUCUCAUGCGGUUUCCGUGAGGAGGUUAGGUAUCUUCUGCUGGGGUAGGAUUUGAAGCUUGGGUUCUUGGAGUUGGUGGGUGGUAUGCGGUUUCUCUGUUUUGGGGGGUUUGAAUAGAUGGUUUUGCUGCGGUUUGAUUUGAGAUGACGGGUUUUUGGGUGGGUUAAGGAGGUGGUAGGGUGUGGGGGGCGUGGGAUAUGGAUGAGAGCGGGGGAUCUUUUGUUGCGGUGAGGAGGUUAUCUCAGGGAUCGGAGAGAAACGCCACUGGAUGCCACUCUUCGCCAGGUAUAUAUUGAUUGGGCCUUUUCCAGUUGCAUGAUUCUAAGGGGUCUGCUGAUUUGGGGUUUUUAUGGCAAUGCUAUUGAUCUUAUUGCCAGCUCUUAUUAUUCUUGUUAGCAUUGUGCCUUUCUUGAUAAUUUGCGCCAAUAUGUUGUUUUUCUUCUGAUGGUCUUUGUUGAUUAAGUUUUUGUAAUUGCUAACAGCAAGUAGGGAACCAGCCACUUGCUUUGACUGAUUUGGUAUAUGCUUUACCAUAAGAAGCUGUUUAUGCUUGUCAUUGAUCAGCAGUAAGAUUUGGUCAUAAUAAGAUUUGAUCAGCAGUAAGAUGUGUUUAUAUCAAGUGUUUCAUUGUUUGGGUCGAGAAAUCUGGUCGAGAAAUCUUCAAGCUAGUUUAGAGCAUUUUUUAACUAGGUCUGCCAGUAAAGUUUUUUGCUUCGGCGCAUCUUGGCGGAAUCCUAGUUAGGGAGACAACCGUGUGCUAAUGUGAUAAUGCUUUGUACAUCUUGCCAUCGUAGUGUCUUGAAGUAGCACAGUCUUGUGCAACAUGAGACCUGUGAAAAAUUUGAACUAAAGGAGUACACAAGAUGUUAGCAAGCAGAAAUGAGAGAAAAUAAUGCAGGAGUCUAAAGAAUGUGGAUGACAAUGCCUGUUAAAGAAAUUCAAAUCAUGAUAAGAUUAAGAAUUGACAUAGUCAUCAUGGUUGGAGGAUCCAAUGGUUUUUGCACCAUACGGUGGUAGAGGCUAGUAUCAAGGGUCGCAUCUUCUAUUCUUGAAGGGACCUUAUGUUUAAUUCUGAGAAAUAACAUACGUAAAGUACUAUAUUUAACAGGUUUUAGUUCAUCAUAGUUCUUAGUUGGUGGCUUCUCACUUUGCUUAUCAUCUUUCACUAUGGCGGCUAUAGGAAAGUUAUUCUUGCCUAGUUUGCACCAGUCAAGUGGCUGACGAACUCAGUGUGGAGUGAAGGCAGGUUGAGUCAUGCUGAACCCCGAAGUAGUAGAUUUUCAUUGUUUAGCAAUUAUUUUAAUUUCUUUGAAUAGAGUUUCCUGUUUAGAAGAUCACAUGGCUAGCUAAUUUUAAGAAUGGGAUGCAUGCUUGAGUUGUUUUUGAAUACUACUUUGCUAUUUCAUGACUUAUGAUGGAUUGAAUCUUAUUUUUAAUGUUUUGUUAAUUUGUUAUUAAUGUUAACGGUAGCUACUGUGCAGUAAAGGCAAUUCCUGUCUUGAUUGUCAUACUUGGUAGUUUGGUGCUAUCUUGACAUUUUUCUGUAUUGCUUCUUGAUUUUUGAUUAGUGUUAUUCAAGUAAAUUCUUUUGAAUUUAAGAGGAAGCUAAUAAUUACUUGGUUCUGGUUUAUAUAGCUGAGGUUGUCACUGGAUCAACAGCAUGGAUUGGAAGAGGCCUUUCAUGUGUUUGUGCCCAGAGAAGAGAAAGUGAUGCUCGCCUGUCAUUUGAUCUGACCCCUCAUCAGGUAAUAUAAUGUUUUUAAUGUCAGUUCGCAUAUUUUAUAACAGAUUUUUCAUUUUGUUGUUGUGGACAUUAAUAUUGAUACUUUUAGUCCUUAAUAUCUUCUUUGGAUUUUUUAUAUGCUGUUUAAUUUCAGGAGAGUUGCUUGGUUAUCUUGAAAAUGCAAAUAAGUUUACCCUAAAAAUCUUAUUUUAUAUACUUCUUGUGCAGGAAGAAUGCCUGCAGAGGUUACAAAGGCGCAUAGAAGUUGCAUAUGAUAGUUUGAACAAAGAACAUCAGGUGUCAAAUUCAUUCCUAGUACUGCUUUGGUUUUAGAUAUUUGUUUUUUGCUCUGGUCUCCUAUUUGUUAUUUUACGUAUGGUCUUGCAAUGAGCCGGAGAUAUUAAAGCUAUUUUUUCCUUAAAUUAUUGUUUGUUAUAAAUUGGUCUAUGCAGUGUUGCACUUUAGACCCUAAAUUUUUGCUCUAUCUUUCAUUUUGGAAGCUAUAGAUCAAUAGAUGCUUGACAUGUGAUUCUUUGUUAGUUUUGAUAUGGGGUUUAUUGAACUUAGAUUGCCAUCGGGAGCUUCCUUUCUUUCUAUUGGUUGAUGGUGGGAGUGUGACUGCAUUGCUUUGGUUGCCUAUUUUCUUCUUAUUUGUAAAAACAUUCAGUUGACCUUUUGACUAGCUAAAGUUGAAAACUUGGUGUCUGAUUGAACUGGAAGAAAGAAAACAUAAUUCCUUCAAAGGAGAGAUCAUCCCUAUAUAUAUAGAGAGAGAGAGAGCUAGACUGGUAUACUAACGGAGACCUUCGUGCUAUCAAGUUGUUUUCAAUGACACGGCUUCCAAAUCGACGAUCGGCUCCGUUAGACUUGAUCUACACUAUUAAAAAUAUUUGGAAACUAAAUUUCAUAAUUUUUCGGCAUCAUUUACCUAUCAAACGAGUAGUCUAAAAAUGAAUGACUGAAAAUAAAAAUCUCAUAAAAUAUGAUGAUAAAAGACUUGAAUUUAAGAUCAGAGGUACUGAUCUUACUCUAAAUAGUGAAAAGAAUUUUCUAUAAAAAUUUCAUUAGAUUUGGAUUAUUUUACAUCUUUAAAUUCACAAAUGCAUCACAUCUACUAUUAAAAUUGUCAAUUUUGAGACCUUUUGAUCACUAACCAAAUGAUGCCGAAAAAUUAUGAAAUUUAGUUUCCAAAUAUUUUUAAUAGUGUAGAUCAAGUCUAACGGAGCCGAUCGUCGAUUUGGAAGCCGCAUCAUUAAAAGCAACUUGGUAGCACGGAGGCCUGCGUGCUAUUGAUCGUUGAUACAUAUAUAUAUAUAUAUAUAAUGAGAAUAAUGAUGUCAUCUAAUGUGAUUCUUUCAUUAGAAAGUAAACUUCGACAUUGUUAAACUAGCAGUGCCUAUUAAGCUAGAUCUGGCUCUAGUUGGACAACUUUAUAUAAUGAUAGACUAAAGUCAUUAGAGGGUUGUUAUUGCUUUAAUUCGUACUCACAUAUUAUUUGUAUCAAGAUGUUGGCAUCCAAAGCUUCUCCUAUAAUACCUCCUAUCCUUCUGUUGCUGGAAGCAGCAAUAUUUUUGAUGCUUGAGUUGCAAGUAUAUUUGACAUAUCUCAUGUUUUGAAUUGCUUAGGAAGCCUUAAGGGCCCUUUGGUAUGCUUCUUAUCCCGGAGUCGAGCUUCUUGGAUUAAUAUCUGAACAAUGGAAGGAAAUGGGAUGGCAAGGAAAAGAUCCAUCUACAGAUUUCAGGUACUCUUAUUCUCGCUUUCCUUCUAUGAGUGGCUGUUAUACAUACUUCCAUCAAAGUACAGUGAAUGUUUAAGUUGCCCUCACUUAUGUUGAAGUAGUAAGUAUAUAGUGUUCUUUGGUGUUCAGGGGUGGCGGUUUCAUAUCUUUGGAGAAUUUAUUAUUCUUUGCCAGGAACUAUCCUGUGAGUGCUAAUUCUCUCUUUUUACAUGGAAGGUCAUUCCAAUUCUGAUGCGCUUUUAGUUUAGCUUGCUCAGUAGACAGAAAGGAUACAAUUGUUUUAGUACUAAUUGAAAUGCAAAUUUCAAUUAACAACCUAUUGCAGUUAGAGUGAUGAUUGCUGCUAAACUUACAGUAGCAUGCUUCAUUUUUUUAGAAAAGUCUAUGAUUUACUAAACUCUUGAGCGUAAUAAGUUUAGAAUAUGUAGUUUUAUUUGUGCUGCACUUCAAGUAUCUGAUAUCUGAGUUUUGUUAUUACUCGUUUGAUAUUUACUGAGGAUUGUCCAUAUGUUUUUUUUUUAAAAUAAUACUCGAAUGUUCUACAGAUAGAAAAUAAUAUUUGAUCACUCCCAUGCUUUGGCUUAAAGGAACAAUUUUCUUUUCAUGUACGAAAGUGCUUACUGUAGUAAUAGUGUUAAAUCUAUGGUUAGGAUAUUCCUUUGUAACCCAUGUUGCAUGCUUGCACUUGUGAACUUAUUGGUGAAGAAUGAAUGCUUCAAUUUUGGCCUGGGAAAAUGGUUGUCUUUUGCAGAGCAAACUAUGUUUAUUAUGUUGCGUGUAACAAAUCCUUUUUCUUACAGAAAUCUUUCCAGGAUCUUCUCCGAAAGCAGGAUGGUGACCGAGCUUUGUGGGAAUAUCCAUUUGCUGUAGCUGGUGUAAAUAUUACAUUCAUGCUUAUACAGAUGCUUGAUCUUCAAGCUGGUUUGCACUUUUUCUAAUGCUGAAUAUUACUCACUAUUUCUUAUGUUUAUUACUAGUAGAUUCGCAAUUUCACUACUCAAAUUGUACUUCUGUGGCUCUUACAAUUAAGCUUGUCCCUUUUAUUUAUCUGCAGGCAAACCUAGGACAUUGUUGGGAGCAAUUUUCUUGAAGCUACUUUCAGGUAUGUCAAGGAGUUCUGGAGCUGGAAUGUUUUCUUUCAUGUUAAUUAUCUGUUAAUAUUCAAAAAAAAAGAGGAAAUUCUUAUAAACUAGGUAGAUUCCAUGCAGUUUGAGUUAAAUUUUUAAAUGGUAUUCGUUUUACAACUAUGGUUAAGUGAGAGGACCACUAAUGCUAGAACUUUUCAAUCUUCCAUGAGUGUUGCCAAAGCACUUAUGGUAAGAAAGUCUCGACCACGUGAAGCUCGUUUGUUGGACUUCUAUGCCUUUCUGUUGGUUCUGUAAAUCAAGUUUGUUUUAAUGCAAGCUUUUCUCACUCGACUUCUCACUCGAGUCUAAGGAAAUUUUUUGACUGUUAGUCUUAAGGAAAUCAAAAUUAAUCAUUCACCUAAAUGUGCGGCAACUGCAAAUUGGAAAUUGUCUCUUCUUUCUUGAAGUGCUUUGUUCCUUCUGUAAGGAUUCUGAAUUUUGUGAACUGAUGCAAAUGCUUCUUGUGAUUGCAUCUCUUGUGGUACAGAUAAUGAGCGAGUGUUCGACAUAUUGUACUGCAUAACUUUUAAGCUAAUGGAUCAGCAAUGGCUAACUAUGCAUGCGUCAUACAUGGACUUCAAUGUAUGCCUCUUACACAGAACUGUUUACUUAUAUAACUUUUUAAAUAACUAAUGUGAAGCUUUCUGUUUCAACUCUCUACAUGUGUAGACGGUGAUGAAAGCGACACGACGUCAGCUGGAGCGGGAGCUAUUGUUGGAAGAUAUUCAACGCAUCGAGGACAUGCCUUCAUAUAGGCUUCUUGCCCGUUAGCUUAACCACCCACUUCAGCAUCGCAGUUAAGUAGCGGGAUACAGUGAUUACAUGUUCUUUUCUCGAGCCACUGAUAUUUUCCUCAUUUUUUUUUUCCUCCUUUAGAGUGCAUUGUGUUGUUAUUUGGCGUCUUUUGAAAUCACAAAAUGAGGCACAAACUCGUCCUGUUUUAGUUGCUGCAGUUAGUUCCAAGUUCUUUAACUAUUUACAAGUUCGGCUGCGUAGUGCGUACUGGUGAGUAGCUAAUAGCGCUAGGGCGUACUGUACUCUUGUGAGUUGCGUGGAGUGGGGGCAUGUUGGUGUGAAAACUGGUUUGUUGCUUACUACAAACUAAAAAAAUCGGCGUGCAACAGAAAUUUUUUCCGUAGUUUUAGGCUUCUUCUAAUCACCUGUAAUGGUCGCCAUUUUAUUGGGUUAUUGAAUUGAAUGGAUGGUAAAGCUUUGAACAGGAACAGCAUUAAGGUGUUCUAGACAAGUCCAACUUGCAACAUUGCAGGGCAAAAGCGACCUCGUUUCUUAUAUAUAAUGUUGCUUUGUCUCUUCUGGUAAAACACUGGUGAUGGGGCCGUUGCUUUUACUCAUCACUGGUUGGAUUUAUAUAUGUGUUUUAACCAAAAAUAUGAUUCGUCAUCUUCUUCCAACCAAGUGAAAAUCUGUUCAUGUUUUCAUUGCAGUAAAUUUCUGCGAACCCAGCACCACCUUGGACUUACCCUUGUGUUUGUCCUUUGUAAAUAUGUUCUCGGGGUCGGGGUGGGCUGUUGUUGCUGUUGGGGUGUUUUCUUGCGUUUUGUAAGUUGGUGAGCCCCGCAAGCUGAUGACGGUGACGGUGACGAUGACGAUGUGGUGCGCAAGGGAUAAUUAUUAAUGAGAAUGGAUAAUCAAUCGACUCGGCAUGAUCAUGAUGCUGAUCAAUCAGCUAAGCGAUUUGAUGUUGUGGGUAAACAACCAUUCGCAACAUCCUUCACUCUCGUCCUCUAGCGAAGCUCAGCAGAGCCUGCCAAAUUUGCCCGCCUGCAUCAUGUGAGCAUAAGAUUUUGCGAGGAUACGAAUAGCACUUUUCCCAGGCAAGUUGGGGGGCCCACCGAGGCCUACUGUCCCCCGCGAUGGAGUGCCCAAUCAGAAUUCGGAACGCGCGCACGAGACAAGCAAUGAGGGCGCCUCCAAAUGGGGCGGACCUACAAUUACAAAAUCUCGUCAUCAUGAGACAUCCGAAGACAAAGAUCUUUGGCGGGAAAGAUAUACUAUUAUCGAUAGCGUCAAAUAUUUAGCACUACCGAGUUUUUCGCUGUUAAAUUUAGUUCUAUAACUAUUUUUAUCCGUUAGAUUAUAUCAUUUAACCAACAACUCAUUCAACUCUAGAGGGCCCACAUCAUCCUAAUCGUAUAUAUUUUCACCCAAAAAUCGAAAAUCUAAUAACACUAAUAACUUGGUGCUAUUAAUAGCAUUUCAACAUAGUUCUAUAUUUUGGUGGGGGAGGGGGAGGGGGAGGGGGAGAGGGGGAGGGUUGGUUCGGGGUUAAGGAAAAACUAGUUAUUCCAGAGAUAGAGUUAAGUCCAGUGUUAAGGUGGGAUUAUAAUAUUUUUGUGUUUGGUUGAGAAUUGGAGUUAGUCCAGGAUUAAAGAAAAUAGUAUUUGGUUGGAGUAAAUAGGAUACGAAAGAUAAUGGGCAAAAUAGUAUUUUGUUUGGUUGGAAUAGCGGGAUAGGGUGGGGUUAGCAAGGGUUAGCUAACCCCACCCCCCUAAAAUCAUAUUUGAGAAUAAAAUCGGGAUUAAGAGGUUAUCUCACCCCUUAACUCCGAAUCAAACACAAGCGUAUAAAUUGACAACAGAGUCUAUUUAUAUAUGUAUAUAAAACUCUUGUAGUCUGGCUCAUGGGACCAGUUCGUAGAGGAGGGUUGACACUACAGCAGGUGUAUAUACUACAUAGUACGUUCCUUCCAACUCUUUUCUCUCCUUAUUCAUGCCAAAAUCUUAGUGGGUUUUAGCCCUAUACUCUUAUGAGUAUGAUCGCAUUCGUACUCAUAAGUAGUUUUUGAUGAUAGAGCUUCCGAAUCGACGAUCUAGAUCGUUGAAUAUUAUCUAGAGCAUUUACAACUUCUAUAAAUCAAAUUUUAUAAUUUUUCGAUAUCAUUUACUUUACGAUCAAAAGUUCAUGAAAUUGACCAUUUUUAAUAGCCGGUAUGUGAUACUUGCUAGUUUAACGUUGUAAAAGAAUUAGAAUAGCUUGAAUUUUUUAUAGAAAAUUCUAUUCAUUACCUAGAUAAAGAUCAAUAACCCCGAUCUUAAAUUGAAGGAUCCGAUCAUCCAUUUUUAGGACGUCGUUCGAUUUUGACCGUUCAUUUUAUAUCCGCUUGAUGGACUUUAUAAUGACUUCGAAAAAUUACGAAAUUUAUUUUCUAAAAGUUUCAAAUACUCUAAAUCAUGUUUAACGGUGUGGAUCGUCAAUUCAGAAGCCCCAACAUUGAAAACUACUUAUGAGCACGAAAGGCUCUAUACUCAUAAAGAGUAUAGUAGCCAUACUAUAUAUAUAUUGGCCUUUUGUUUCACAUUUUUGUUUUGCUCUUUGGUUUAAAUGAAACAUGCUAUAUAUGUGUUUCUUUCUUAUAUAUAUGUAUAUUUGUUUCGUUUCCUUCUUUUAAUUGAUUGGUGCUGCAUGUAGCUAGUAUGCAGAACAUAGAGACCUAAAAAUGUGGAUUAAAAAAAAAGGAAAAAAAAUUUUGCACCACUACAUUACAACAUUCAUCCCAAAAGAAAAAACACACAAAAAAAAAAAACCCAAAGCAGAUGCUAUAUGCCUUUUGACACACGCCAUCAUAAAAAGCUGCAGCAUUUGGAUUUUUUUUUUUUUGUUUUGUUUUGUUUUUGCGGUUCUCUACAGAGAUGAAAUAGUUUCAACUUUUGAGAUCAUUUAAGGUCCUUGACAUAUCACCUACCAAAAUGAAAGUGAUUGACCCCAGAAAUUAAAGAUGGUGCGAGGAGAAGUAUACAUAUGAUUUGACAAUCCAGCACAAGUUGAUGAGGAAAUGCCAAAGUAGUGCAACAAUUAAUGGCCCCCUUUUAGUGUUUUCUUCAUUAUUAGCAUUUACCUGAAUUAUUUUAAACAGCUAAACAUUUCAAUCUCUAGCCAGAUAUAUAUUAAAAACCUACAUUUAAUUAACCUUUUUAAUUAAUGUCUAUAUUUUUAGCACUUCAACUCCUUUUUUGUCACGGUUGGUAUUUUUAAGUAUUAUUAAAUACUUAACUAUAAGAGAUAUAAUACUGAAAGAAUGUUAAUCCCUAAUGGAACAAACAUUAAUAGGUUAAAUGAAUUUAUGCGUCAGAAGGGCAAAGCACGAAUAUAUAGCUGCUGUUUUAAGAGGUGGAUGUUGUUACCCAAAAAUUUUUGUAUUAAAUCGUGAUUCAGCUACCUAUAUGAUCUAUGUACCUUCAUUUCGUUGUCUCCUAAGCUGUUUUACUACUUUUGCUAGAUAAUUCCUGAAUUAAUAUAGAUAAGAUAAGCUGAAACAUCAAGCAAUAUAUACAUCUUGAUGUAUAUGUUUCAUUGCACCUAACAUAUAUACAUAUAUGCUACAUAGAGUAUCUACAACAAUCCGAUGUCGAAAGACACGGCUCGAGUUUGAUAGUUGAACAGUGAAGAGAAGGAAAAGGAAGAGCUAAGAUAUAUGCAGAUAUUUUGUGGCGCCUUUAGGACUAGGAUUUUUGUUUUUUUAUUGUGAAGGAACUGUUUAUCGAUUCUUAAAGCACCAUACAUGCACUAAUGCUUUCAUAUCAAGAAUCAGGCCAUAUAAACCUCUUUGAAAAAAAUUUUCUAAAUACAUCAGUUGUACAUAUUCUGGUAGUAAAUAUGGGCUACUAAGGUCUUAAAGGUUUAAAGGUCGAGUCCAACUUGUGAGAAUAUGGGUCAAAACUCAUAUAUCUCCACCAACAAGGAGAAAAGAAAAUUGUAAGGUUUAACUCCUAGCUAAUAAACAUCUUCUGGAGAUUUAACAACAAUAUAUGUCCCUACUGAUGAUCCCUUUGAACUUUAUCCUCAUCCCUUACUUUUGUUAUUGAAUGACAAAAAAACAAUCACUUAUUUACAAGAGAUCUAUUCUAUUACUAGCAUGUACAGCAAGACGCAUGUUAAGGGCAUGCUGUGCCUAGCCGUAUGUUAGUUGUACUAUUGUUUGAUAAAGUGUUGUUUAAAAUUUUUUGGCAUGCAAUUUUUCUUGUGACAGAAAUAAAAGCUCUUAAUAGAGACCAUAUUUAAUUUGAUGCUCGGAACUCACUGGUUCAAACUUUCUACGGCAAUACAAGUUUACAUAUAACUAAAAGUGAUCAAACUAAUUUGAAAGCAGAAACAAAAGUAAGGCCAAAUAAGCUUGCACUAAUGGUCAAAAUGAAGGUAAGGAACAGUAAAUUCACAACCUGUGAAAAUUUGAAGGGGCUAUAUAUAUUUCACCUGAGAGCUAGAUACUUUUAAGAAGCUGAAGAGAGAGAGAGAGAGAGAGAGAGAGCUAUUUGGAGAGGGGGAAUGGGGGGUGUCACGAUGGUUUGCUCAGUAGGGCGGUCGAGUGGGAAGGAGCAUGGAUGGGAAUGCGAUUUGGAAGGAUUCGGAAAAGCUCAUCAUCUUUUUCACGAAUUAAACAAACAAAUUGAAAAGCAACAAGAAGAACAGCAGCAGAUAAGUUUAUGAGGAGCAUCGAUUGGCCCCCACACUUUUCCAGUUUACAUAUGCACUCAUUCUUCAGAGGAAUAUAGAUUUUUUUCUCUCUGCAACUAUGCUGAUGUGAUAAUGAUGCUUCUGUUUGAGUCAUAAUGGCUUUGCCAAUGAGAAUGACAAUGAAAGCAACAACUGCAGUAAAAGUAAGAGAGAGAGAGAGAGAGAGAUUAAGAGAUGUAUAUAUCUAUUACCAAAUACAUAUAUAAAGAGCUGCAGAUGUUGCUUUUCUUUUUCUCUUUUCUGAAAUAGAUGUUCUCAUUGUCUCUUCUUGUUUUAUAUACAUUCUUAAUUAGUUAGCUGCAGAUGUUCUAGUUGUCUGUUUUGCUUUCUUUAGUUACUGUUCUUGUUUUGUAUAUUUAAUAAUUAGUUUUUUUCAGCUCACAAUUUCUACUUUUAGAUAUUAAUAUCCAGCAUAUAUUUUGGUACUGUGGAUACUGUAGAAGAUAUAUAAAAAGAAAAGAAGCGCUUUGCUAUGUUUGGGUCAAGGACACUGUUAUCUUGAAGAUUCUGAAGUUUCCCAUGCAUAUGUCGCAAUAAUAGAACAUGAUGAGACUACUUGAGACCAAUAUAGCAAAGGUUUUUUUUUGUGAUUAUUUUCCAAUCAUGAUCUUAACAUAAUUUAGAGAACUUCUCUCUUCUUUUUUUCUUUUUGGUGAAUAAAAAAUUUGACAAUAUCCUUCAUCUAAGCAUCAAAGUGUCUCCCCACCUCAAGUCGAACCUCAUGAGAUCUUACCCGUUACCUUAUCAUAACUUAUCACUGGAAAUUUUAUUGGUUUGGCUAAUUUAUAUAGCCCAAAUAAUAAUACAUUAUUAACAAGCAGCUAUGUACGGGUUUUGUAAAAGAGAAGUAAAACUUAGGUCAAACUAGCUAUUACGUACAUAUAGGAUCAAAAUUGGUUAUAUAUAAAGAAACGCGUGACCUUUCCAUCAUGAGAUCUGCAACCAAUGUAUAUAGAAAUAGAAACAUUAAAUUAAUCUUGUUUCUCUUUUUGUGCGCGUGAGAGGGAUAGAGGGGAGCUCGUGGAUCUCUGAAACAAUCAGUUUGAGUGCAUGCAGAGACAGCGAGCACUAAUAUAAAUGUGUUCAGUCCCAGUUGUACGUUGAUGCUAAUGAUCGAAUAAGACAAACCGGGUUGCAAUUUUCUUGUAGGAAUGUAAUGGAAUUCCAUUGUUCAUAACAGCUUUAAUUUCUUUCUUUCCUCUUCAUUUUAUUACUCUCUCCUAGUAAAAUUCUCUCUAAUAUAUAGUACAAACUACCGACCGUCUCUAGAGCAAGUGGCAAAGGGCUUGGUGGUUGGUUGGUAUUCGAGACCCAAGUUCGAAUCCUAGUUGAUUCACAUUUCUAGCUAAGUUUAUUUCUAAAUGAAAUAAACGAACCGGGCAGCGUGCUACUUAUCUCUCAAAAAAAAAAAAUAUAGUACAAACUAUAUAUAUAGUACUAUUAGUAUUAGAUUUAGGCCCGCCUUAGUAAUGUGUCGGCUAAAAUUACUAUAUAUUUUUACAUACUCUGAAAGUCUCUGAAUAUCUAAGAGUACUUUUAAUCUUUUUUUCUUACGUGGCUAUAUGUUUCUUCUGUGAUGGUUACAACUGCAAUUUUCUAGUAUCGGAGAAGGGAGAAUUAUAAGUACAUUUAAAUUUUUGGGGCUGCAUUUAAUUAGUUACCAUAUUACCAAACUAGCUCUUACUUCAUAUUACCAAACUAGCACUUGGCAAAAAUAGCUAACUAAUAAUGGAUUUCAAACGUAAAUACCAUAUGUUCGGUUUAUCACAAAAAUUGUUUGCAUGUGCUUUUGUACUCAUGCAUUAUGGUAUUCGGAAGAUAUAUAACUUUGAUAAUUUAGCUCAAGUUUCUUAUUAGCGUAAGCAUAUUAAUACAGGGCAUAUAUAGAGAAGAUCAAUGUUCGAGUUCGACUACAUUUCUUGUUACCAUCAUAUUGAAGAGCAGAUUUAAAGGGGCCCGAAUAAUUGAAAUUGAAUAUAAUGAGGAUCUCCGCAUUCAAGUUUUUAUUUAGAUAAGCAAACUAAUUAAUUAAUACAUGGUAGAAAAGAUUUUGCAGUUUAAUUGGCUACAUUUCAUGUUUAGUUUCAAGGUCAUUAUUUCCAUCGUUUUAUUUCUUGAAUAAUUAAAGAUGAACAUAACAAUACAAUAAAAGAACUAAAAAUGGGCAAAAGAGAGAGACUUAUUAAGACACAUUCUGUUUCUUUUUGCUGUCAAAUCUAGCUCAUCUAUACACUUCUACUUUUUACAACAAAAAACCAAAGAGACCUACAGUUUUCAGAGUAUAUAUAUAUGUGUGAAUCAGUAAAAAAUUCUUAUAAUAAAAGUGUAGACACAUCAACAAUAUAAAGACAAUAUUUUCUUAACAAAUAAAAGCCACACCACAUCAAUAUUGAAACAAAAGAACCAGUAAUAAUUGUUAACAUUUGGUAAGAUCAUGAAAUGGCAACUACAGGUAGAAACGCUAAUCAGUAGACAAGUACUAGCCACCACCCACUGUGCAUGUCUUCUCUGAAUGACCCCCACAAUGUGCACCAGGAGACUCACCCAAUCACAUCUUAGUUAUAUAGCACCUCCAUGAUUUCCCAUUCCUUUGAAAUUAAUAUACAGCUGCGUACGUAUAGUUCAUACCCCAUAUAUGAUGUAUAGAAGAAGAAUACAUACAAACCAUUGCCUAUAUAUGGAGGAAUACUAAGUAUGAUAUAUAUAUAUAUAUAUAUAUAAAAGAGGAGGGAUAAUAAAUACUACAAAGUAGCUACUUUGGCUAUGGAGGGAAGUGAUCAAGGAGUCGGUGUUCCGAGUUUCUAUGUGCUCGAAGUUAAUCCUCCUCCGCUUCCGACCCAGAUGCAGGAAGUGGAGUUCCCCCAACCAGUAGAGCAUGUUCCGACGCACGGCGGUCGUGCAAAUCCGUCGCCGAUUUCCGGUUAUUCUUUUCAGAACUCCGCCGACUUCAGUAUAAGUGAGAAGCCCCAAGAGGUAUGGUGUUACUAUGAGUUUCAAAAUUGUAAAGAAGUUGCACCUCUUUAAUUUGUAUAAAUAUGUAAUGAUUGUACAGGUGGGAACAUCUUUAGAACCAAAAGAUGGGAAUGAUCAGAUAAUUAGCUCCAGUAAGGAUGGUGCUAAUUCAUGGUGGGCAUAUAAUUUAUCUUUUCCUUUCAUCUAUCUUAAUUCCGGCCAUUGUACUACAUGUAUAUAUAAGGUUUUAUUUUUGUUGAAGCAGGUGGAAGAGGUCGGCGACGACGGAGAAGAGCAAGAUGAAGGUGAGGAGGAAGAUGAGGGAGCCAAGGUUUUGCUUCCAAACUAGAAGUGAUGUUGAUGUGUUAGAUGAUGGAUACAAGUGGAGGAAAUAUGGGCAAAAGGUUGUCAAGAAUAGCCUACAUCCAAGGUAUAGUAAUUAAACAACUGCUAAUCAAGUUCCUGCAUGUUUUCCUUUUUCUUCUUAAUUUUCCUGAGGAGAAUUAAUUAAAAAAAAAAAAAGAAGCAAAGGAAGAAGAAGAAUGUUGUCACUUCUUCAAAUUAAUCAUAUUCUGAUACACACAAUUAGUUUUAUACAUAUUGUUUUUCCUCAUGACUUAUUCACAAGUGAAGAGGCCUGUUUAGAAAAAAAAAAAAAACGAAAAAUUGGGUGGAGAAAUGCAUGCAUGAGUAUUUAGGUCUGCAUAUGUUAGAUGGUGUACAAUGAAAAAAGAAAAAAGAAAGAAAGUGACAAGCUUGUGAAUAUAUAUUUACACAUAAAGAGGAAUUGGAGACAUGCAUUAAUUAGCUUAGGAAGUUAAACAAAAUUCAAGACUCAGUACAAUCACUCAUACCAAUCGAUCUCAUAAAGGAAAAAUGGUCAAGGAGCUGCAUUGUCAUGACUAGCUAAGCAUGAUUUUUCACUACCCUUUAGCUUCUUAGCAGUCCAUGGUUAAUUUGAUACCACUGCAUGAAAUGUGUCUACAAAAUGAAGGAAUUUAGUUUUUCAAUUGUAUGAGAAAAUAUGAGUUCACAUUAGUAAUUAGAGAGAUACUAGGUCUACAACCUAUUUUGGAUUGUAAUCUUUUUUUUUUUUUUUUUUUUUUUUUUUUUUUUUUUUUUUUUUUAGAGAUAGGUAGCACGCUACCCGCUUCGUUUUUUCCAACUCUUUUAAUCCAAAUAAGCUGCAUUAUAUAUGGCAGUUCUUAUCUCUUAUUGUACAUAAAUAAAUGGGCAUAUUUUAAGAUUAUUAUAAUUGCAUAAAAAUGUAUAACAUGUGAUUAUAACAUGAUGCAGUAAAUUAAAAUAAGCUUUUUAUCAAGUUUCGCUAUGGUUAGUUUCUUUUCAACUAAUAAGAGAGUACAUUUCAUAGAGUAAUAUAUGAUUAUUUCUUCACUUCAUAUUAUUUAUUUUUUUGACAGAAGUUAUUAUCGCUGCACCCACACUAAUUGCCGUGUGAAGAAAAGAGUCGAACGAUUAUCAGAGGAUUGUCGUAUGGUUAUCACGACGUAUGAGGGAAGACACACACAUUCUCCAUGCGACGACACGAACUCAUCUGAGCACAACUGUUUUAGCUCAUUUUGACCACUUAAUAUGGAUUGUAUUGAUCGUGUGCAGUGUUGCGAAAUCUAUAGGACAAAUUAAAUAAAUGUGCUAUUUAUAAGGUUUAUCAAAGAGAACUAUAUUAAUUUGGAAAAUUUAGAUGAGAGGAUGUGUGCUUUAGUAUUUCCAUUUACUCUUUUUCCUGCUCUAUGACUCCUAUGUAAUUAAAUAUAUAGCAGGUCACUUUUCGUCGGUUGAAUUUGUAAGAAAAAUAUGUCUCAAUAUUUUUUUAUUUUUGUACUGGUUCACAGUAUUCAAACAAUAUAUACUCAUGCUAUAAUUCUGUACGUAUGCUAAAUAUAGCAUUCCAUGAUCCUCCUCGAUGAAAUUAACACAAGUUUUAUUAUGUAUUAGAAGAUUCAAACAACUGGUUCAUGCAUGCUACCAAAUUGGUGCUAAUUAUUAUGACUGUUUUAAUUAACUAAUUAUUUUGUUGAGUAAUAUAUGUCAUAUUCUUUAACGUUUACUUAAUGCAUGUGAUUCACUGUAAAAGUUGUCAAAGAUGUAAAAUUCGGAAAUGCAAAAUGGUGAAGCCAUGAAGAGACAGUUUUGCUUCAAAUAAGUGCUUAGUUUUUCAUAAUUAAGAGCAUUAACAUGCAGUACAUUAUAUAUGUAUUGUUCUAUUUUCUUCUAACGUACAUUCAACAAAUUAAUAAGCGGUAAAAAUAUUUGCUAUACGUGUUGUAUAUCUAUGUAUACUUUUGCUAAUUUGCUAUAACCAGUAGUAUAUAUUUUACAUGUAGAGCAUCACCAUAUAUACGUAGUGGUGCACUCGAACGCGCGCACCAUUGAAGAAGAAGAAGGAGAAGAAGAAGAAGAGAAAAAAAGAAAAGUUAAUCCAAAGAACAAAUUACCAUGCAAACUUUGGGACAAUCACAUGUCAAUUAUAGUUUUAAAAAUUUUAUUAAAAUUUUAAUCGAGUAAUUAAGCAAAAUUAUUAACUUAUUUGUAUGGAGAACAUUUCGAUUUUUUUAACUUUGAAUAAUGACGUGUAAAAGUUGGAGGUGCUCCAUUUUCUGUUUUUGAGUGUAAAUUUUAUAUUUUACCCAUCAAAGAUUCUUGUAUACUAAACUUAUCAGUUUAUUUUUUUAUUACUUAACUUUUAAAUGAAUGGCAGUAAGAUUUACGUCCUGUUUUUGAUUCAGGUGAAGUCGGUGGAGAAUCACAUCGUUUGGCGACUUUUGGUCCCAAAGUCGGCGCCGAAGCGCCUCGAAUAGCAGUAUUCGUGUAACAGUGUGACUCGCACGUCGGUCCCACAUAUCAAUCCGCGCGCCAUUAUUAUUAUAUAGUUAUUUAUUUAUUUAUGUCCCAUGCUUUUGUGGGUUCCUUCACUGUUCUUUCUUUUCUCUCCUCUGCGAUCCGUUCGUGUUAAUUUCCGUUUCAUCGUCUAGGGUUUUGGUCGUACUUGGGAUCUUUCGAUGGUCGGAUCGAAGCGAAUAUCAACGCCGAGGCACGCCUCUUUCCUCUUCUCUUUCUUUUUUGCUUUCUAAACCCUAAUUGGAAUUGGGAUGUUGAUUGGAGCGAUGCAAUUGUUUAAAUUUUUUUACGAUGCGUUAGCGUUUGGUCAUCAAAGAAUGCGAGAAGAUCACGUCGGAAUUGCCGAAGGAAACCCUAAUAAAAUUUGUUCUAACCAUGCUCUUAAUCUGUUCCGUCGCUCUUUUACUAAAUUAUUUUUCCAUGUUUACCUACGAUUUUAAGUUUUUGAGCAAACAAAUGUGAUUCAUGUAGAGCUUAUGCACUGCAUAUGCAUCUUAAAUCAUGUGUAGAGCACAGAUAAAUCACAACCAUGGUGAAUUGGAAAACAUUUUAUUACAUCUCUGCUUUAAUACAAACAUUAGGAACGCGACUAUCAAUUCCGUGACUGAUUUUGUAUUGCAGGGAAGCUAUCAAUAACGAAGUACUCUGUUCAUAUUGUAUGAUCUAGUAGUUCUUUGCAUUCUAAAGUUUAUCAAAUAAAUAGAAGAUUAUGCGAGAAGAUUAUGGCAUUUUAGUCACUUAUCUUGGGAACCAAAGCGAAGUACGUAAAAUGCUGCCGCACCGAGAACUUGUUAUGAUGCCUUGAUAUUUAUUAUAUCAUUGAGGAACUGAUUACUUCUGUUUGAUUAUGGUUGUGUUGUGCUACAGUGGUUCUAAUUUGGUUUUUGCAAUAUUUUGAGGCUUGUAGAAGAAUGAUUUUUCUUGUGAUUUUAAAAGAAGGGACUGUUUGUUUUGGAAAAGAAUUUGUGGUUUUUGCAAUAUGUAAUGCUAGAUUGCAAGAUCUUAGGCUUUUCUAAUAUUCAUUAUUGCAGGGUAAUCUAACCACGACUUUCCUGUGUUCCGGUAUAAGGGUAUGUUAUUGUUUACAGUAGUUGUUCAUACUGAUAUGUCCUGCGAGUAUGUAACAUUCCUGACCAUGAGACCGUCACUUUGAAGUGAUAAUAUAUAGUGAUAGAGUCCCUUUGUUUUUACUCGGUGUCUAAAUAUAUUUGAUUCUUCGUUUAAUGACUUAUUUUCAGUAUACUCUUUUGUGUGUACUUCACAGAAGAAGGGAUUGCUGUUUCAGAACGUUGCAGUAGAAAUUUUGGUUAUCUGCUGAAGCAAGUUUGUGAUCUGGGCCAUGUUCAUGCAAACAAUGCAUUUUGUACAAAAACAAGAAUCUCCUAAAUCAGUUUUUGUUUGACAUAAAUGUGCCUUCUUCAUAUUAAUACAUUCCAGAGGACUCAGCUUAAGACUUGCAUUUGAAUGCGCCUUAUGGUUAAUGCUAUUUAUUUUGUAACCUUUGAGUAUUCUUUUGCUGUGGUAAUUACAGCCGUGCUUUUGAUACAAAGUUCAUUGGUAUCUCCCUUGCAUACUCCCUAUCAACCAACUAUCACAUGCCCAUUUAGUAAACAAAAGAGGGGCUGAACAGUAUCCAUGCAUCCAAACAGCUCCUAAAUGUGAUUCCAAAUGGUGAGCUAAGUUAACGAGAUUAUUUUUUAUAUUAGAAAAGAACGAAGCUACUGUAAGGCAUCAACAGUAGCCCAUACCUGCAUCAAUCAAUUUACACUUUUGGUGUUACUCAGGGCUAUCUUCUUUGAUGUAAUAGAUUUUAUAUCUAUCGAUUUAUUACCUGUAAUUUUUCAAUUUUGUGUAUCAAUUUCGCACAGAUCAAUGUACAAGAUAGUUUCUGUUUUUAGGGAAAGAAGCAAAUAUAUAUUCAAAAAGGAAAAAGAUUCAUCACUAGGAUCAUUUUACAUAUAUUGCCUUUUCUUUGUUAUCACAAGGUCUUUAGCCUCUAUGGAUGUUUUAUUCCUUCCAGCAUUAGCUUACCUACUAUGCCUUCAUUUGUUUGUUCUUAUUCCUCGGGAGUUCAUUUUCCCUACCCAUCUGCCGUAAACUAUCAGUCUUAAAAUCUAGGAGCUAAUCACAUAUGUUUGCUUUUUGCUUUUAAAAAACACUUAAGAAGGACAGUGAAUUAAUUCUCUACUGCCCUUGUCCUUCUGGUGGUUAAGAUGUCAUUUUCUGCAUUUGCUAUCUCUCUGCAGUUACAUAUAUCAACUCAAAAGCUCUGGUUUAUUUAUUUCUUCCUUAUGUGAUAUUGCGAAUGGGAAAUUAGCCGGUGGCCCUCUUGCCCUGCCCCUAUUUUUACAUAUAGAAAAUUCUAGGGCAACUUGAUUUGUGAAUGCUUUUAGAAAUUGUAUUCUUUUGCGUGUUUGGCAUGUAGGAGUCCAUUGAAUAGCAGAGAGGAGAGAGAAGGCAUGUGAUGCAUAUGAUAGUUGGCACUACUUUUGACUAGAGAAAUAAAGUAUCAACUUGUGGUUUAUUUAUUGCAUGUGCUUUAAAGAUCGAAAUUAACAAAAUGGAAUUAGAUAUAACUUAUCUGCACUAUUCUUCUUUUUUUUUUUUUUUUAAGAGGAUAGUACCAUUAAUGUUAAGCUGCUGAUUCUGAAGUAACCACACUGUUUUUUUUGGGUAACUUAAGAGUGGAGCACUAAAAAUCUUCUAGUUAUACAUUCGGAGAUUGGAUGAUAGCCGUGGUGGUGAAAACUAUUGUUUGAUAGAACUUCUCAUCAGAUUACAAUUAAUAACUUUUUAGGCAUAUUUCAUUGUUCAUUGCAUGCUUUGUUGGUUUGGUAAAUUUAUGUCUAAUUCAUUAUAUUCUUGAAUGGUUUGUCCUAGUUCCUGUCUUCUCAUAUGCUUCCUGAGCCACAUCAGAGUAGGGUAUAUUGCCCAGUCAUCUUGGGCCUAAAAGUCGAACAAUAACAUGGCUUUUUGUUGUUAGCUUUUUGUACCUUUGAGUGCAUUGCUUGUCCAUUACCGUAGUAGAGGAACAGGUUGGGCUCCCCUUCUAUUUUUUUCUCAAAAGGAAAAACAAAAGAAAAAGAAUAAGGGAAGUUGAAGAAAAGCUUCUUUAGUUUUCAGGGGAGCUGAUCCUGAGCUUAUGGAGUGAUUCCGUAUAUACGAGACGAGCUAUGCUAUUCUUUUUUUUUCUUUUUGAAAGAGAAAAAAAUAGCAUACUAUCCGCUUUGUUUAUUUAUUUGAAAAAUAAAUUUAGUUGGAAAUGUAAAUCAACUAGAAUUUAAACUUUGGACUUUGGAUAUCAACCACCGUGUCUUUUACCACUUGUGUUAGGGACAGUCGGUUGAACUACGUUAUUUUGAAAACGGUAAAAUAGUAGCGAAAAAGUUUGCGUUCUUAAGGGUGGAUGAAUUAUACUUUUUCAUUAUUUUAGACCAUUGUUUUGUGAAUAUUAAAAUCUGCUGUGGCAAUAUCUCUACUGAAUAAGUUAUUUUUUUCUUCUUUUUUUUUUGUUUUAAUAGACAGAAACUUAUGUCAACAGGAGAGAUAAAGAGGCUCACCGGACGAAAAGGACGCAGGAGACAUGAAGUUCAGUGUGAGCGGUUAGCGAGACUAUUUAUGAGUAGUCAUUGUUCUUGAAUGAACUGCUGUAGACCGGCAAUUCCAUUAGCGAAAAAUCAGCUUGAAGCCAAACCAUCUUAACUAAAGUGUAAGUUAAAGUGUUUCAUUUUGGAGUUAUAAGGCGCCAGGUUUGAAAUUUUAGGGCAUCGGAGGCUACUAUUAAUUGUAUCAAAAAAAAAGAAAUGUCAUCUGUGAUGUCAGAAUUGGUUAAAUCUUUUCGCCAGAAAAAAAAUGUCUUAAAUGUUUUUAUUUCUUAUGCUCGAAUGCUUUAAGCUUUCAAAUUGAGCUAGAUCAUGAAUUAUAUAUGACCGUCGGAUGUUUUUUUUUUUUUUGAAAAAUAGAUAGCAUGCUACCCGCUUUGUUUAUUUCAUUUAGAAAUAAAUUUAGUUGAAAAUGUAAAUCAAUUAGGAUUCGAACUUGAAACGUCGGGUACCAAUCAUCAAACUCUUUGCCACUUGGGACGUCAUUUAUACGACCGUCGGAUUUUGUGGUAAAGUAAGGUUGUAAUCUUAGGACAAUUUAUAAUCAAAACUAGAGCACGAACUAUUGUUACGUAAUCUUGGUUGAAAUUUUCUUUUUUUAUCUCGCUGUAUAUGGCGGAAAUUUAUUCACAGGUGCAAGUGUAAGUACAAGGCUUAUUUUUUAUCAUAAUGGCUAACAUAUGAUGUUCCAUUUUCUCUAGUGCAAUGCUUUAUUAUUAAAAGAAAUAUGUGGUGGCUCCGCUCCAGUAAAAAUAACAAGAAUACUUUCUAUUUUUAUUAUUAGACUAAUUUGUUGAUACCUUUGACUCUGGGUUUGCAUUCAAAUUGCGCUUUGAGCAUAAAUACGUCUGCGCACGGUGCCUAAAAAGAGAAAUGGUGAGAAAAAUUAAGUAUAAGAAACUGAAAAGUAAUACAUAUAUCAUUGUAAACAAAUUAAAAACAAUUCAUAUCCACUCUAUUAUGGGCUCCAAUUCCAAAUGCGAUUAAUAAUAAUAGUCAGCUAAUGCAGGUCACGGUCAAACCCCACGAUUUUGAAACUUUUAGUUGGCCAUAGCUCUCUCUCUCACUCACACUCUCUCUCUCUCUCUCUCUCUCUCUCUCUCUCUCUCUCUGUGGGCCCACAGAAAAAGUAAAGGUGAAGGGGAGGUUGGGAGAAGGGUAUUAAUUUUAACUCGUCAGGGUACUUGCAUGUUACGACCGAUUGAUUCUAAAAAAUAAAUAAAUAAAAUUAAAAAAUAUUUUAAAAAAUAAAAUAUAAAUUUUAAAAAAAAUUGAACAAGAAGCAGGGUUAUAAGAAUACAAAUAUAAAAAAAUAAUAAAUUAUAUCUAUAACAGCAGUAAGAGUUUGAAAAUUAAAAUAUCAUAUACAUCAUAAUUUAAGCCAAAAAUUAUAACUAAUUAAAGUUUGAGGGCUAAGGUAUAUCGUGCCUUGUAGUUUGAGUAAUAAAUUAUAAUGCAUGAAAGUUCGAGGACUAAAGUUGCACACAUCUUAUAGUUUGAGGACCAAAAACGUAAUUUAUUUUUUUUAUAUUUUAUUCUUAUUCCAAACGAAGUCAAAGUUGAGCAUUGAUGAUUUUGUUAAAUUAGUAAUUUCAUAUGUGGAAAAAAAAAUAUGUUAAGCUAUUAAAUAAAUUUUAGAAAGCAUAAUUGUUAAAAUUAAAAGUCGACCAAUAAUAUUUUGCAUAUUUCAAAAAAUUUUAAAUGUGAAAUUGAUCGCUCAUCAAACUAUAAAUAUAAUAUUAAAGUUUGAUAUUAAAAUCAAUAUAAAAUUAUAUAAAAUAUUUGAGCAUUGAUCGGUUUUGUUCAAUUAAUAAUUUCAUAUGAGGAAAAAAUAUGUUAAACAAUCGAAUAAAUUUUAGAAUACCUAAUUGUUAAAAUUAAAAGUCGACCAAUCAUAUUUUGGAUAUUCUAAAAAAUUUUAAAUGUGAAAUUAAAAUAUAUAAAACNUAAAAUCAAUAUAAAAUUAUAUAAAAUAUUUGAGCAUUGAUCGGUUUUGUUCAAUUAAUAAUUUCAUAUGAGGAAAAAAUAUGUUAAACUAUCGAAUAAAUUUUAGAAUACCUAAUUGUUAAAAUUAAAAGUCCACCAAUCAUAUUUUGGAUAAUCUAAAAAAUUUUAAAUUUGAAAUUAAAAUAUAUAAAACAUUUUGAAUAUAAAUAUGAUAUAUAAAACUAUAAAUAUGAUAUUGAAGUUUAAUACUAAAACUAUAGUAAAAAUAUAUAAAACAUUUCUGAACUACGAACUAUUUUGAAUUAGCUAUCCAAUCUUCCAAAAUUUUAUUUUUACUAUCUAGUUUUUAAUAUGUUGGAUGCGAACCAGUGGAUAAUACUUUGACUUCGAAAUUUGAAUGUGCAGCUUAGCUUUUCAUAUUUAGCUAAUAUAUUUCAUACAAUUUUCGCAACUAAAUUUAUUAAAAUAAAUAAUGAGCUUAAACUCUACUAAUCUUUUUUUUAUUUUGCUGUAUAAUUUAUAUUUAAGCGAUCAAUAUUAUAGGAUUAAAUUAUAUUUAAUGUAUACACUCGAAACUAUUUCAAAAUUAUGCAUAAAAAUUAUAUAUUUUAAAUUUUUAUAAUAAAAAAAUAGAGUGAAUUAAAAAAUAAAAAAAUCCAAACCCUCCUCUCCAUGUCGAGAUCGAGAGAGAGAGAGAAUUUAGAUGAAAAAAAAAAACUGGCCCACCCUACCCCACCAGGCUGGGACCCACUAGGCCCCACCGUAACCACCUUCUUUUAGUGCCACGUGGAUUGAAACUAAGGUUUCAUGAUUUUAAUUAAUAAUUAAUAAUUAAUAAUAUAGAAUAUAAAUAUAGAUAUAAAUAUAUAAAUAGAUAGAUUUGCACCUCGAAUUAAAGAUUUAAUAAUGUUUCCUUAAAAUCAGGUAACUUUGUCCGGAAACAAUUUAUCUUCUAUUCCUUGCAAGGUAGGAUUCAUUCAUUAAAACAACAAUUUGGCGAUUUAAUUUGCAGUGCUAGUCUCUGAACUUUCUGUGAAGUUCUAUUUUGGUCGUCAAACUUUAACUUUUGAGAUUGGAGAGUCAAACUUUUUAAAUCUAUCAGUUUUAUUAUUUAUCUCAUACAUUUAAUGUGAUAAUUUAGUUUUUUGAAUGUAAGAAAAAUUGCAACUUAUUUAGUGUACAUGCACGUAGCAAGAUCGAAACAUAAAAUAAGAGAACAAAAUUUAUUUAAUAAAUUUAUAGUAAGUAAAUAUAAUGAGUAUAAUGAGGCAUUAGGCGUCACAAAGAUUACAACAAAAUAUUUUCAAAAGUUUAAGAUUUCAAAUGUGAACAAGGCCGUAAACUUGGUCAAAAUUAAGUUGAGAUAAUGGAACGUGGAUGGCUCAAAAUACUUUUGAUUUAAUUAAUGGAAGUAAUUAACCACCAUAUUAGUUGCGGUAUUCACUCCUCAAUUUUCAAACUUAAACGAAUUUAGUUAUAUAUCUUGUUAGUUUAAUUUGAUUUGUUAUAAUAAUAAGGGAAAACUUCAAAAACCCCCUCUGUGGUUUCGUAGUUUCUCACUUUGGCCCCCCGUGGUUUAAAAUGUAUCAAUAUGCCCCCCCUGUGGUUUCUUUUUUCUCUUUUUCAUAUCAAUUUUAUUUUUUUUUUUUCCUUGUGAUAAAGUUAAAAUUAAAGGAUACUAAAGUGAAUAUUUGAUAAAUCUAUAUGGGUAUCGGAAGUUUUUUGUAUAUAAUUUAAUGAAAUAUUAACGAAAAAGCUAUCGAAAAGAUAAAAACAAAACCACAGGGGGGCAAUUUGAUACAUUUUAAACCACAGGGGGGCAAAGUGAGAAACUAUGAAACCACAGGGGGGUUUUUUAAAGUUUUCCCUAAUAAUAAUAAUAGUAAUAAUAAUUGAAUCUACAGCGCGCGUACGUACAAAGCGCGCCUGCGCGACGUCGCACGUGCAUGGCGUGAGAGCUCGUACGUGGUUCCACGUGUGUGCACAUGCACGUGUGCAUUCGUGGAUGCUCUCGUGUACACGUGUCAACAUGAAAAUAGUAAUGCACGUACAUAGUUAAAGCAGUUUCUCUACUUCUCCCUCUCCAAAGCCCUCUCGCAACACACACAUUUUUUUUUUAAAAAAAGAAAAACUACUAAUGCUACUUUUUUAUUUGUGUAAAUAGAGCAAUUAAUUAAUAGGUCAAAAAAAAUUUAAAAUUUCAAAAUUUUGGAGUUAGGUAAUAGUAAGCAAUCAUUUGCAAUGGUGUACUGGUUUAUUAGGGUUUUUUAGUAUUUUUUCAAAGAGUGUUGUUUUUAUUGGUUAAGUGUCGUCACGAUAUUUUUUUUUUAUUAUUAAGGGGAAAAAAAAGUGCUUAUAGGUUACAAGUUACAACGAAAUCGUUCUAUGUGGCAUGGCGUGGUGCAAAAACGCAAAUGGGUUCCUCCUUAAUUAUAAUCUUAACUUUAAUUAAUUAACCAAAUGUGGAGACAACAAAGCAGUAGUUACAACUUUUGGAUGAGUCUCUCUCUCUCUCUCUAUCUCUUUGUGUGUCAUGAGUUCUACAAGGUUUAUGAUCAUUACAUUAGGACAAAAAAUAAUUAAGGUGGAAUUCGACACUUAUAAAUGGAAGCUUAGAUACUGUUUCUUCGAAAAAGAAAGAGUCUUAAAUGCAAAACUCCAUUUAUCAUCUUAAUAAGUGCUCAAUUAUUUUAAUUCGAAUUUUGUAUUUUGUUACUAUUUCAAACUGACUAAAAAAAUUAGGGAAAACUUCAAAAACCCCCCCUGUGGUUUCGUGCAUUCUCACUUUGCUACCCUGUGGUUUAAAANUUAUAAAUGGAAGCUUAGAUACUGUUUCUUUGAAAAAGAAAGAGUCUUAAAUGCAAAACUCCAUUUAUCAUCUUAAUAAGUACUCAAUUAUUUUAAUUCGAAUUUUGUAUUUUGUUACUAUUUCACACUGACUAAAAAAAUUAUAACAAUUUGAAUUUGGACGUAAACGUUUAUCGAAAAGAGUAAGUAUAUAGAAUCGGUUCUAAAUUAUAGAAUACAUAGUAAAUCUAUGGAUUACAUAGUGAAUCUAAAAUUAAAUAAUAUAUGUUCUUAUAUAACAGCUUACAAUUAGAUAAUUUGUUUGAUUUCAUAUAAUUACCCUCGGUUAAUAUGACCAAAAUCAAUGUUUGCUAGUUUAUUUACAUGAAAAAUUCGCGUCUAAAUGUAACAAUCAUCCUGAAAUUUUAGCUCCCUAUAAGAUGCAUUGGAGGUAAAAAUUGCAAAUUUUAAAUUAAUACAAUUUUCAUAAAGUGAAGUAAACACGGGAAUGAACGAAGCAGAUAUAUACAUAGCAUACUACUUUUCUCUCUCAAAAUAAUAAUAAUAAUAAUAAUUAGGGUAUGUGCUAAGUUCCAAGAUACAUUAUAUAGCUUGUGCCAAAGAAAAUUGCAAACUUAGUUGGAAUUUAUGGUAACCUAGUAAUUACAUGCCAUGGGGUUAGCCACUUAGCUCCAAAAUGAGCUUAGCUAGGUCGGGGUGAUUUUGGCCAACAUUAGAAGCUUCCUAUCAUAGUCUAAGAAUAUUAAUUAGAUUAAUUUACUGAAAAUCAACAAAAUAUUAAACUCAAAUAGCUUCCUAUAACAAGAAGAGAGAAUUUAUUUGCUUCAAUUCAAAAUAUCAUUAUUCUCUUCCAACAAAUUUUAAGGAAGGAAUGUAUUAAUUGCUCACAUAAUCUCAUUUUGGGAAGGUUCAAUUGAUAUAGUUUGUUUUUUUUAGUUAAUUGACUAAAUAUUGUUACAAAAAGAUGAGACAGAUGUAAUUUCAGAGAGAAUAUAUAGAUUCUUACUUCUAAGUCGACAUAUCUAUGCACAUUUUCAAGAAAAAAAAUGUAUGUGUUUCAAUAGUUUGGGUCAACGCUUAUUGAGACAAAAAUCAAUGGCUCACUAUUUAACAAAGGGUUUAAAUUGUGACAUGACCCAAAUUGCAGCUAAGGAUAUGCAUAAUUAAUUUUAUAUAUAAGUUGUUUCAACAAAGAACUAUACUUUAGGAUAUCCAUAAAUUUAAUUAAAAAUCUUUUUAAUCUUGCUCCUACCAUUGGUUGAGAAAAUAUGGGCAAAUUGAUCCCUUUCUAUAUAACUUGAUUAUGUUCCUAAUAUUGUGUAUAUAUAUAUUUUGUUAUGGGACCCGGGUCCAAAGUAGAAACCAAAAUGUAACGCAUUCAAAUAUCCAGGAUUUAUACAAAUAUUAAACACAAGAUUUUAAUUUAAUUCUACAAUAUGGCAUGAAAGAAGAAAUAUAAGUCUAAUUAAAACUCCCAAGUACUUAAAUCAAAUAUAGUGCAAAAUUAGUUAGCAAAGUUAAAUAUUCAAACAUUGUGUAUCAUUAGCAAGAAAUACUUUUAGUAUAUUUUUGUUACACUCUGAGAUUUGGUAUAGUUACAUGGGAGUAGGAUAUGGUAACCUCCCAUUGAGGUGGUGAAUUUUCUUUUGUACAAAAAAAAUCACUAAAAAUACAAAAAGAACAAUUAAAAGUAAAUUAAUUUAAUUAAAAAUGGGUUUGCUAAUUAACACCAGUUAUUUUUACUAAUCAGCCCCAAAACCCCCUACAAGUCAUGCACUUAAUUACAUACAUACAAAACCAAAAGCCUUUCCCCUACCCAUUCAUGUUUCACACUUUCACCCCCUCUCCUUUUCCAUCACCAUUUAUUUUUUAAUUUGAUUUCCCAAUGGUCUCCUCCUUUUCUUAGGAUUAUUGUGUAGAUUCCCACCUUAGGAAUUUUUUUAAAAAAAAAACAAACAAAAAAAAUUAAAAAACAAACAAAAAAAAGAAGAAGAAAAGGCACCAUUUCACCCUUGUAAAUUUUUUGGUGCAUAUUUUUAUUAUAAUUUUUUCCAAUUUAUUUCUACACCCCUUUUCCUCUCUCCCUUUCCCUUUUUUCCUUCCUCCCUCCUCUCCCAAUUUGGACCUACCAAAACCUCAAAUUUAGUUUUUGUUUUCAUUUGCUUCCUCUAAAUCCCUCCUGGGUUUUGUUUUGUUGCAGAAGCAGCUUUGCUGUGCCCAGUUUUAUAGGUUUAUUGGGCUCCAAGGAUUUAUUUACAGAGAACUGUUCCUAAUUUUGUUAAGAGAUACUGCUAUAAAAAAAGUGAUUUUUAUCCAUAUGUUUUUUGGCUAUGUUUUUUCUUUCUGAGAAUUUUGGAAGGGGGAAAGAGAGAAAGGGCAACAAGGAAAUGGGGAAACAAGGGCCUUGCCGCCACUGCGGCAUCACAAGUGAGCUCUUCUUCAUGUUUUUGAUGAAUACUUUUCAUUUUAUCAGGAUCCUCUCUAUGUUUAUUUCCAUUUUUUUCUCUUUUUUUUUUUUUUGGGUCCUCCAUUUUGACUAGUGUUAUUGUUUUUAAGGAACUAUUAAAUUGUUCUAGAUGAUUAUUCCACUUCUUAUAGAUAUCACUUUCCCUUCUUCCUCAUUUUAGAUGUUUGUGGUUGUGUUUGUGUUGCAAAUCAAAUAUUGAACCCAUUUGAUUUUGCAGCCUUGCAGGUUCCCGUAAUAAAUUUCCUGUUUACUGGAUUUCCAUGUUGUUGCUGCACAUGAAUUUUUAUUGGAUUUCUCUUCUCCGAGUUUGACGGUCGAGAACUAAAUUCGUUUGUCGAUUAUUUGAAGUUUUGAAGUCCAAAUUCCACUUAGUAUGAAGUUUUUUUGAUGCAUAAAGAUCUUUCCAAUUUCGAAUUCCCACGUUUCUUCAUUGAAGCAUUUGUCCAACAGUGGAUAGGAUCAACUCACUUGUCAGAGAGAAAAUUUUGCAAAUGUCAUGCAAUUAUGCGUGGCGACAAUUCUUCCUGUUUUGCCUGCCACGUUCUCAUUUAAAUACCUGCUUGUUUGGAGCGUCGUCAAUCUAUGCCUUAGCAUUGACCUCUUGUUGCCUCUAUACGACAAAUUUGCGUAUUCCAUUAAUGUUCAUUAACUUGGUAUAGAUGAUUCAUGAAAAUAGUGGGAGAAUAACCUCUUUGAACUUAAGUUCAUAUGCGUAGCUCUUUUCAGCGGUGUCUUUUCGCAGAUUUAGGCUUGAGUGCUUGUCAAUUUAUUGAAUUGUUUUACAAUGCAGCACCCGGGAUUUGUUUUGUUUGAGUACUUGAUCUUUUUUUGCUGAAAUGAAAGAUAAAUCCCAUGACAGGUACUCCUCUUUGGCGGAAUGGGCCACCGGACAAGCCUGUUCUAUGCAAUGCAUGCGGUUCGAGGUGGAGAACAAAGGGCUCAUUGGCAAACUACACUCCCUUGCAUGCUCGUGAAGGCAUCAUCGAUUCUGAGGAGUUAAAGCUAACUAAAGUAAAAAGUGUAUCACUGAAGCCCAAAGAACCAAAAUUGCCCAAGAAAAAGCAGAGCUAUAGUGUGGUGGGAAAUGAGCGUGAAAUGCCAUUUUCCGAUCAGAAUUUCCAGAAAAAGAUUGUCGAGGGGGAUACAAGCAAUCGAUCUAGUUCUGGGUCGGCAAUUUCAUGUUCAGAGAGUUGCGCGCAAUUUCGGAUGGUUGAUGCAAGUGAUUUGGCAGGUUAAUAUCGUCGACCAAAUAACUAUCAUAUAACUUAGUAAAUAUCUGCCAUUUUAUUUGAUAUUUCCUUUUUCAGACUGUGAUGUAAUGAAUGGAUAUUUAGUAACCAUCCUUCAAUGACAUAAUGUGAAAGGAAAUAGUUUAUAAGCAUAAUAACUUCAGAAUCACAUUCUUGACGUGUGUCCUGUUUGAUGGCUGGAGCUUAUGUAGAUGUGCAAUUUUCUUUAUACAAGCAAGUCAAGAUUCAGCAUCCAUUGCAAUUUCUUAUUUCUCCGAAGUCCUAUCUAGCAAAUUUGUUAUUACCCUUUUUUCUCUACCUAUUGUGAGUGCGCAGGACAUCUAAGAUAAGUAGGUAACAAGAAAUUCUUGUUUUUUGGCUCUUGUAAAGACCAUUUUCACACUUUCAAUAAUCUAAAGCAAGUAUCUACUGACGACAUAGUGGAAGCCAGUUUAGUGCUUUUUUUUUUUCUUUUUUUUUUUUGAGAGAAUGAAGCCAGUUUAGUUUUGCAUGCUAAAGCGCUCUCUCUCUCUCUCUCUCUCUCUCUCUCUCUCUCUCUCUCUCUGUGCGUAUGUCUCUCUCUGCGUAUGUAUGUGUGCUGUAUUUUUCUCUUAUUGUAAUAGAAAUUUUUUCACAUUUAAAUUUUUCCUUUUAAACUUUCUACUUCAGGUUCAGCACAGUCAAAUGUAUGGGAUUCGAUAGUGCCAUCUAAAAAGAGGACAUAUGUUACUCGAGCUAAGCCUGCCAUUGAAAAGCUUACAAAGGAUUUGUACUCCAUAAUGCAUCAACAACCGUCAUCUGCUUUUUCGGUAUCCUCAGAAGAGGACUUGCUUUACAGUAGCGAAAGUCCAAUGGGUUCCUUUGAGAUGGGCUAUGGAAGUGUUCUUAUUAAGCACCUAAGUUCAAAAUCGCCAGAGGAGGAAUCAGAAGCAAGCUCAUUUCCUGUAGAUAAUAGAUCCACUGCUGGUGAGAUCUCUAUGAGACCCCCAUCCUAUAAUGUACAUAAUAAUAAUGACGGUGAAGAAAUAAAAGGAACAAGCAUUUCAGAUGCUGCAGCUGAUGGCAAGUAUAAAAAGUGUACAGAAAAAGCAGCUCAAGACGAUGCUGAAAGGUACUCGGACAUUUCAUGUUCACCAUAAAAAGAAGUACAUUAAUGCCUAUAUCUAAUCUUUCUCUCAGCUUUUGCUCGGCUCUAACUAGUAUGACUUAAAUAUCUUGUUCUGGUAGUUUUAUUCUUAUAUUAAUCGCAAGUGUAACCCCUGAAGUUCGAUCCUGAUUUGAACUGCAUCCUCAGUUUUUCACUUAGCGAUUUAGUUCCUGUAGUUUGUGUCCCAUAACAAUUAAAAUUUUCUGUUAGUCUGCUGGACGCCAGGUCAGUGUCAACACUAUAAUUGAAACCUCGACAAGACUAGUGGAAGGACUUAAUUAUAUGCUCGACAAACUUCAGGAACUAAAUUGUUAACAGAAUAAAAAGGUUAAGACUCUCAUCCUUUACAGGCAUAAACUCCAGAAUGAGAAGACAGCGAUACUGGGAGACCCCUAUUCGCCCUUGACGUCAAUUGUACUAGAGGUACUAAAAUAUUUAAUAUCCUUUUGAGGCCUUCAGCUUUUUCUGAAUUUAUAUUAGUUGCCACAACUGAGUGUGAACUAUUGUUUUUAAUUUUUGCCUAAGUACUCUCCUACGAUGCUUUUGGGGUAGCAAAUGCUGGAGAAUUUCUAGGGGUUCACUCAGUUUGUUUUUAGGGAUAUUUUGUAGCUGGAAUUUCUUGUUUUGAAGAUUCUUAAAAUCAACCAAAAGCAAACUACUAUAAAAACCAAAUUGAACCAAACAAAAGUUAUUUCAGUUUUGUUCAGUUCAACCAAUUGGUUUGAGUUUCUCCUCCGAAUUAUAUUUCGUCAGCAAUAACAAAAUUAAUCAUAAAAAAAUAUUUCAUUCAAAAAGGAUGUCUAUGAUCUCUCUAAAAAAAAAAGAAAAAAGGAUGUCUGUGAGCUAUCACUAUAAAUUAAUAUAUCCUUUUUGUAUGUAUUACAUCCAAAUAUGGUUAUUAUUGAGUAAUAUGUAAACACCGUGCAAGGAAUCACCAUGUGUUUUACAGCCAAAAAAAAAAACUAUAUGUUGGUUGUAUAGGUAUGUAUUGUGUGUAUGGUUGUUAUUCUGUUUUCGUUUCAGUUUGGUUGAGAAAGUUUCAGAAAAAAAACCAAAAAAAAGAAACUGAAUGCUGAAAUACAUAGAUUCUGGAAAAUCAAGCCAGGUCAAGAACCAAACAAACCAAGCUAAAUUGUUUUAUUUGGUUUGGUUUGGUUGAGUUUGGUUUUAUGUUUGGAGCCAAAUAGUGAACACUGAAAAUAUCUAAGAAGGUCGAACCUUGAAGAGGCUUAUUUUACGUAACACAACGGAGUCUAGAUGGGAGUUCUAUAAACAGCUGGUUUCUCCCUUAGGCAUGUAUUCAUCAAAGCUUAACGCAUUAUUUUAGGUGGAGUCUUUUUCUAGUAAUUGAACUUUUUUCUUUUUCAAAGCCUGAUACAUGGACUUAUUUACAUUAAAGUUUUUUUUUUAUUCUAUUUCUUUAGGAGAAGAAUUGUGCAGGAACUGGAGGAAAGAACGUGUUGAGCGCACCAAAAUUUUCUGCUAGCUCCAAUUUGGCAACCCAUAAGAGGCCUCGUGAUUGUGAAAAUCAAGCUUGUUCAGGUUUGAACUACCCACCCCAUCCCAACUAAGAAAAUGUUACUGGUUGUAGCAAUCAAAAUAUUGGGAGUUUAAGAAAGGAUGUGCUGUAGUGGUGAAUUUCUUUGGGUCUAGUAUGCAAAAUCAUAGCAAUUUGCUGUAUGUUAUCUGUGAUUCUUUUAUUUUGUGGAGUGAGGUGUAGGAUCGGGGCGCUUGAUAGUUACAUCAAGGAAAAGUUAUAGUAUGUCUGCUGAGGAAGCUAUGCAGCUGCAUCGGUUUCUGUUCUGCUAGAAGUUGGCUUUAUUCUUUUACUUUUUAUCUGAUAAAAUAAUCAUAAUUAUGAGGUGAAUUUGUUUACUCGGCCAUUCAAACGUUUUAUAUUUCAAGCGCAGCUUCUGGUGAUGAGUAAGUCAUAUAGAAAAAGGAAUUUUCUCAGAUUGUGCGUGUGCAAUUUAAUCAUUCUUUCGACUUGCUAAGCCGACUCAUUUCAUUUUCUGAACUGCAGAGAUAAAAUGCUCAACGAGAAGCCCUAAAAGAAGUCAUCAAUCUGGGUCCACAAAUCUUCCGUCAGAUUGUUCCUCGGAUCCAAACUGCAUUGUUGCAGCCUCGAAACUCAUCGAUGAUGCUGCUGAUUUUCUCGAAAGUCACGGGGCAUGCUUCAGUCCGAGGAGCAUUUUCUCGUCUCCUCUUUCAGAUAGGAGCUCAAUUCUGGUCGAUGACUUGCUGGUUGAUUUCCCGAGCAAUACAUCAUACCCAGAGGCACAGCUGCUCUACCCUUCUCUGGAGAAGAAACCAGUCUCAGAAAGCUCCCAACCAGAGACUGGAGUUACCAAUCGCGAGGGAAGUGACUCGAUCGAUCGUUCGUCGAGUUUCAGAAGCAUGCUGAGUAGGCUCCUAUAGAAGAACAGCAUUAGUCUCAUCAUUAGUGUUUCCUCUAUAAAAUUUUAACUUGGAAAAGAGGUGUUUCUAAUGAUGGGUGAUAAUAACUUGGCGAAUUUUAUGUUAGCGAGUACCGGUAUGUGUCGUUGGAUUGCAGGUUUCUGUAUUGUAUAGCUUUGGCAAGAGUUGUAAGAUAAAGGUAGGAUAAAGUGGUGGAGAUAAGAGUGUGUGUUUAUUCUCAUAAAGAUUCAGAGAUGCUGCAUCACCAUGCCAUGUGCCUUAAAAGAGUCCUUUUUCUAGUUUGAAGUGCUUUGGCCUUUCUAAAGGAGAUUCUAUCUGCCGCUGAUGUGAUGGCAAAUUAAUGCAAUACAGUUUGUGAGAAUUUCUUAAAUUUGACAACUAGUAAAUAAUUAGAUCGCUUUACAAUUGCAUGCUAUGACUAUGAGGUGAUGUGCGCAAUCUCGAAGAGAGAAUCUUUAAUGCGAAAAAAAUGGAAAAAAAAAAAAGAAAGGAAAGAAUGUGAGCUUUGCUUUGCCUAAAGUUAAAACCUAUGGUUGGUUGGAGAAUUUGAACAUCAGGAAUAAAGAUGUAUUAUCACUAAAAGGAGCAGAAAUGUAUUACCUUAUGGAAGCACUUAUACAGGACGAUUUUUUUUUUUUUUUUUUUUUUUUUUAGGAGAGAAAAUGAUAAUAUGCUAUCCGUUUUGUUUAAUUUUUUUUUAAGAAAUAAACUUAGUUGAAAAAUAUAAAUUAAUUAGGCUUCAAACUUGAGACUUUGAGUACCAACCAGCAAGCCCUUUUUAAUAUAAUGUUUUGUUAGAGUUACGGCACACCUAUUACAUACUAUCACAAAAGUAUAAAUCUACUGUAACUUACUAAAUUAUAAAUCCAGCUUGAAAUUGAUAUUUUUCCCUUCCUGAUUGGAUAUGCAUAAUAAGCCGCGACUCUGCACGACAAGGUGCUUAUGAGCCAGUUUGAUCCAAAACAACAAUCUAAAUUUUUAUCUAAAUAAUAGGAAAUUAAUUUAGAAAAUUAACAUUGGAAAAUUCAAAUAAAAUAUUAAAUUACAAUUUUGGAGAAAUUUUUUUAAACUGUAAACCCAGUCUGAUCUGGCGCGGUUGUGGCCGGGCCGAGAAGUUGUACUAACUAACUUUGCCCAGAUACACUAACACGUGGCGAUUUUUCAGUGGUCUACGAGGGUGGAUAAAGUGUUGCCUCGGCCAAGCGUACCAUGUAAUCCGUGGACCGGAUCUAGUUGUCCGCAUAUUUCCUAUCGUUUCCGGUCCACGGCUUUGGAAUCUCCGAAGCGAAAAAGAAGCGCACGAGUAGUUAAACCCUCCCAAACCCCCGCCCCCAAACAUAUACGACCCCGUCCGCUUCGUCCCAAAACCAUCCCGCGAUAAACCCUAGAAAUGCUCCUCCGAUCCCCUCCUCCCCCCACUCUCUCCUCCUUCCCCCCCUUCGCCUACUCCCGAAUCCCUUUAGGGUUUCGCUCCCCCGCGCUCUUCGCGAGGAAGGAGAAGGAGAGGAGGCUCUUCGUCCCCAUCCGAUGCGCGUCGAUAUCGCAGAUCCACAGCUACGGGACGGUGGAUUUCGAGCGGAGACCCGGGCUCAAAUGGAGCUCGCUCUACCGCCGCAUCGCGACGAUGGAGAACGAGGGCCUCCGAUCCGGCGCCGUGCUCGAUCGGUGGGAGGAGGAGGAGCAGCGCCUCUCCAAGUGGGAGCUCUGCCGCGUCGCCAAGGAGCUCCGCAAGUUCCGCCGCUUCAGGCUCGCCCUCGAGGUUGAACCCUCCCAACAUUUCGUUCUCCUCAUGUUGAAUAUUUUCUCUAAUUCCAUCAUCCUUUUCCAUUUAUUGUAGUGAUCUAUACGUUUGAUGAUUUUGAAUAAGAAUUAGAAAUGACGAUUGUUUAUUUUUAGUUGGUUCGUAACUAAGAAGAUUUAGGAGUAAAAUGCACAGAUACUCCCCAACCUUUCAUUGUGUUGCAAAAAGUUGAACAUUUUGCUUAGAACAAUUCUCUCGCAACUUUCUAAUAUUGUGCAAUUGCAUCCCUUGUGCGAAUUCUUGUCCCGUCCAUUUUUCCUAUACUGUUCAUGGAUUGCAAUUGUGAGAUAUAGAAAAGUUCAUUGACUAAAUUGUUCAGAUGAGGAUUUUGAAGAAAAGUAUGGACAUUAAACUGAACAGAUGAAGCAGACGAAAGCUCAGAAAAAAUCAGACAUACAUAUAUGAAUAUUCCAGCUGACUGUUUGUUAGACCAGAAAUGGUAUUUUUUUCCCUUUUCUUUGAUUUGGUUGAGUGGAUAUGGAGACAUUCUGAUAUACAAGUUUAGUGUAUGGAGCUACUCUAUCUACCUUCACCUUUUUUGCUUCAUUUGUAACUUGACCUUCUUUAUUUGCGGUGUUAUCAGGUUUAUGAGUGGAUGGCUGAUCAAGGAGAUAGAUUUGCAUUCACGUCCAGUGACAUGGCUAUCCAGGUGGAUCUCCUUGCCAAAGUGCACGGUAUUUCACGUGCAGAAGAGCACUUCUCAAAGCUCCCUGAUGUCUUGAAGGACAAGCGCACUUACGGUGCUCUUCUAAAUGUUUAUGGACAGGCAAAGAUGAAAGAGAAAGCUGAGGCCAUUGUCGAAACAAUGAGAAACAGUGGGUACGCAAUCGAUCCACUUCCCUUCAAUGUGAUGAUGACUCUGUACAUGAAUGUUGGAGAACAUGAUAAAGUUCCUAAGAUCAUUCAGGAAAUGAGGGAAAAGAACAUAAAAUAUGACAUUUAUUCCUACAAUAUCUGGAUAACAAAUUGUGCAGCGAUGCAAAAUGUAGAGGAGAUGGAAAGAGUGGUAGCUUUGAUGACUUCUGAUAGCAAUAUUAAUGCAAAUUGGACCACUUACACAACACUCGCAACCAUGUAUAUUAGAUUGGGCAACUUCGAAAAGGCUCAAAAUUGCCUAAAAGAAGCUGAAAUUAGAAUGACAGGUAGAGAUCGAACACCCUUUAAUUAUCUCAUCGGGCUUUAUACCAGCAUAGGGAAGAAGGAAGAUGUCUAUCGAAUUUGGAACUGGUACAAAAGAAGCUUCCCCACAAUGUUGAAUUUAGGAUAUCAAUCGAUGCUAUCAGCUCUGAUCAGGCUAGGUGAUCUUGAUGGUGCUGAAAUGAUCUAUGAAGAAUGGAUGUCCAAUGCGUCAAAUUACGAUCCCAAGAUAUGCAACAUUUUAGUGGGUUGGUAUGCUAGAAAUGGUUUUGUCCGAAAAGCCAAAAAAGGCAUUGAUCGUUUGAUUGAGAAAGGUGGAAAGCCGAAACCUAUCACAUGGGAAGUCCUCGCAGAAGGCUAUAUAAAUGAGAAGCAGCUGUCUGAGGCAUUGUCGUGUAUGAAAGAGGCUGCUUCUUAUGAAGGUGUGAACAAUUGGAGGCCGAAACCAGCAAACAUUGCUAGCCUUGUGGCACUUUGCAAUGAGAAGAAUGAAGCAGGGAGUAGAGAUUUGUUGGCAGAGAUACUAAGAAGUAGAGGGUUUCAUGAAAGGGAGGAGUACAAGUCGUUGAUUAGCUCAUAACAUAUCAAGGAAGCUAAUGCUGCGACAAUCUUUGAUUUUGCCUGAGAGGGAAUUAGAGUGGCUUGGCCGCUCAUAGUUUCAAGUGUUUAUUAUUCCGAAUCUUAAUAAAGUCUCUGUGCUGAAUUUUGUUUUGUCAAUAAUCGUGGCUGGAGAUAUGAGGUAUUAAUACGUACCUUACUGGAUUAUUAGACCAGCUGAUGCUCCAAAGAUGAAGAUAACAGGAACCUGAGCCUGGAAUGCACACUAUUUCGGCAUUCUUCUAAUUCUUCUGAGCACUUUCCGGAGCCAUUUUAUGUUUUUUUAAGCCCAGGUUAGUUGUUUUAUUUAUCAACAUAUAAGCUCUUAAGAUGUUUCUUAUUAGGACCAGAGGAAUAUAGAGGUUGCUGCUUUGUUAUUUCAUAUCUUUUAAAUACUAAAGCUACAGUUUUUUUUUUUUUUUUUUUUCCACAUAUCCCAUCUUAUUGCUUCGUUUUUUAUACAUAUUCUCAUUCCUUGGUCCUUAGGAGUUAGGACAAGUCAUUUUUCUGUUUGUGUUAUUACUUGAAAGCCAGAAUGCUUCAAAAGUUGCACUCAGACAUAAAUAAGCUAACGAUUCACAAGAUGUCAUUUCGAGUCUGCUAUGUGGUUUGAAUAUGAUCUAUAACUUUUUCCGCAAUAUUUUAUUGACAGAUUUUUUUUUUUUUUUCUUCUGAGAAUAGGGGUACCAAUGGUUUGGCUACUGUGCAUUUUUCAAGUACCGAUGGUUUAUACCUCAUUUUCUUUAAAGGUUAGAGAUGAGUGUUAAUCAUGGAAUUGCAUUACAACGGCACCAAAUGGGAUAGCUCUAUUGGGCCAACUUUGUAGACUACCCUUACCUUUUAUUAAUAUUUUAUGUUUUCGGAUGAGCAGGAUGGGUUUAGGAUCUUCCCUUUUUCAUUGCGAAUCCUUCUAAUUUCUUAAGGUUUUAUAAUUUUCUUACAAUAGAAAAGUAGGAGUAUGCUUAAUUUCUUAGUUUUGAAGAUUCUCUGUAGAAGUGGGGUAGAGUGCUUAUAAUAUGCUAAACAAAGGUUAUUAGAUAAAACUGGGGAGUGAAAACCCUCGUGAUUCAUUGACAUAGAUAGGGCUAGUUAGAGCCCUACUUAGGGCUUCAUAUGGGUAUUCAGAAUCUUUCGCUAAUCAAAGAAAAGAAAAGAAAAAAGGAAAAAGGUUAAUUUGAGCUGUACUGUAGCAUUACACAUGCUUGGGAGCGUGGGGCCGAGCUAGGAAUUAUGCCUUGUAGAUGGUCAAUUUAAAACAAACAAAAAAGAGCAAAGAUCAUUCUUUCCUGAAAUUUAGUCAUAAGCUUAAUUACUUUUACACCCUUUUGGCUAUUCCCUCACUAGUGCAAAACCCACAAGCCACAGAUUUCUUAGAGAAAGCCAUUACCUCGCUGUACACUGUAAGGAUGCUGUACAAAAAGGUUAAGCAAAUUAUUGUAAUUAGUUGGGAUGCGACUUAGAAAUGUGACCCUUUUUUGUUUUCUUUUGUGUAUUUGUACACAAGAUGAUGGUAGUGACCUUUAUCUAAAUAGAGAUGGGCGAACAGCUAGGGUUUCCACCACAUGAAAAGGGAACCCUGAUGGAUGGUUGGCCAACUUGGGCUCCUUUGAUGUCUCGUCUACGGAAGGACCAUUCUAAACUAGGUCCCAUACAGGCUUGUGGAGUGGUGGCUCGCCUUUGCCCCGUAUGCUGCACCUAAAACGACCCGAUCCGCCAGCAAUAAUAACUCGUUGGAUCUAAACCACCGGUCCACAAUGCUUAAAACUACUUAUUAUUAUUAGUAUCCAUGGUCUCUUAUAUAUUCAAUCCCAGUUUCAUUUUCAUCUGAUGUGGAACUAUUGGAGUGAUACAGCACCUCCAAAAUUCUAUAAAUAAACUAUACUGCUUGUCUAUAAUCAUUUUAUGAGCUUCUAAAAUUAGAACGUCAUUCGUGGAUUCUGUUCUAUCAAUUUUAGACAUCUAUUAGAGGAUCGAAGUAAUAUUUUCUUUUUAUACUGUUAGUCAUUCGUGGAUUCUGUUCCAUCAAUUUUAGACAUCUAUAAGUGGAUCGAAGUAGUAUUUUCUUUUUAUACUGUUAGUUUGUUUGGGACGAGACGCCAUUAGAUAGCACAUUUUCAAUUUCGGAAACUUAUAAUUUCUUAUCCAUGCGAUUGUUUAGAUGUUGAAGUUCACAUUUAUUAUAUAUUAAGCAUGGUGUAUGAGAUGUAUGAAUAGACAGGGUGGAGGGCACUAAUAUCUCCUUACCUUGCACCAACCAAUUUUGUUUGUUCAUGUGCUAUACAAUGCUAGGUGGGUGCACUAAUGGUGCUGAUGUCAUAAGUUUGUAUGCGCUCUGUAGGCAGUAUUCAACAGCCAAAUUGUCGGCAAGAGAAAGAGAAAAUUUUUUUUAAGGAUUUGAUCUUUAUUUUAAGGGAUCUUUGGUUGUUAGAUUGAUUCCCACUAAAUGGCAUUUAUUUUGAUGGUCAUCUAUAGCUGCAGAUAUUGAAAUGGUAAACAUAAAUAUGUGAAAACCCUGGGUCGAUCGACUUCCUGAAAAAUCACUUGAUAGGUUGGUGAUCAGAAAUUACCAAACCUGAGAUCGCUAGUUUGUAGCGACCUCAAAAUUCGUGCACACAUUUAUCUAGUUUAAUGCGACAAUGCUCUUUUUGUCGCUACUGGCGAAAGCAAAACUGAAAAAUUAAGAGAAAUUACAGCCUGGACAUGGCAGUUCACCUUAGUUGGCAGUGGAACCCGUAAUAAUAUACCAUGAUCCUACCAGGCCUAACUUUUCAUAAAUUGUAGACAAUGAUGGGUUUAAUUUGCCGAAUUCGAUCGUUGUCUUUUUCUGCUACCUCUUUCAGUAGUUCCGGCCGAACCCAGGCGCCUAUCAGGAUAUUGUAGUGUUUCUUUCUUUGUUCUACUUUCUGUUUUUGCUCUAUAAUUCACGUAAAAGGUACGUGAAUGGAUUCGGGCCAACCUGUAGUUGGGCAUAUCAACUAUCAAGUGAUAAACAAGGAAUAUGCCUUCCUCUCUCUCUCUCUCUCUCUCCUCUUCUCCCCCAUUUGCUCUGUCCGUAGUUCGUUAUUCCCAGAUCCCAAAUAAUCUGAUCCCCCGCCCCCAGUAAUAUCCGUCGGCGGUGUUCCACGUUCUGACUGUAAUAAUAAUAAUAUUAAUAUUAAUAUUAAUAUUCCUACACCCCAUGAACAGCUAAGCCAUCUUAUUCCCUCCGCUCCCCAAAACUAUCCAUCCUAACCGAACUCAAAAAAAUGUUUACAUCCGUGCCAUCCUAUGUGAUCAGAGGAAGUCUACGGUGUCACACUUAUAUUAUAUUAUAAAUAACAAGUCCAUUAUAUCCUUUUUUUUCUAUUAAUUAUAAUUAUGAUGGGACCGGUGAAUCUAAGAGAGAACAAUCCAAUAUAACUAGUGCAUUCUAAAUUUUUUCCUAUGAUCGGCGGUUACUUUUCACACAUGGCAUCGAUGCAAAUAUAUUUUUAUCAUUUGUUAUUGUUAUACAUGCAGUAGGGGGGGGGGCGCCGCAGAGUUUUCCAACUGGAUUUGGGGGUGGGGGCGCAACGCAUCUGUAAAGUCGCUGGAAUGCCAGCGAAUGUCUAAAUCCGCACGGCAUAUUAACAUGCCUGCUGUAAAGUCCGUGCUCUCCCAUCUAGGUAAAUUUCACCCAGAUUUACUUACUUUGAUUCUUAAAUAUUUAGAUUAAAUAUAUAUUUAUCCGUUCCAUUCUCUUUCCUGAGAACCCUCAAUGGGGAUAAGGGGGGUUAAACUAUGAUUGGAACCUCCUUUAUCCUAACCUUUAUUGGUCGGCAAGAAAGUAAAAGAAGCUUGCUGAGUUGGUUACCCAAAGACUUAACCACCAUCCCCCCACGUGUCAAUAGUCAUUUAAUUUUACUUACAUAGUUACAUACAUACAUUUGUAUACAAUCAAUUUAAUUUUUCUCUUUCCUAUAGAAAAAGAAAAGUAUGAUUUAUGAACAAAAACAGUAAUUAGUAUCAAAAUGUUAAAAUUACAUUAGAUUCUUCUUCUUCUUCUUUUCUUCCUUUGCUCCUUAUGCUUAGAUAUUUGCUUACAAGCAAGCUGCCUAGUUCCUAGCUACUAUAUCCAAUCUAUUAAGAUAAUUACAAAACUUAUGCCACUUGUUUAUAGGUAGUUGGAUCAACCAAAAUCUCAAGAGUAAACAAGAGGGAUUGUAAUGCAACAUCAACAUCUAUAAUGGCUCAAAAAGAAAAAGAAAAAAAAGAAAGAAAAAGAAGUGGUCCCUUGCUUCAUCAAAGCAUGCAAAGCAAAUCCAACAAGGCAAAACCUUUCGACCUAAUUUGGGCAUUAAUUGUCAAUCGCAUUUGGAACUGAAUUGUUAAUUGUGAACCAUAACUCCAACCAAAUCGCUAAAAGCUUUCAAAACACAUAACAUGUGAUCUCACUAUUUUUUUUUAAAAAAAAUAUAUGAUCAAAAUAAAGUUAGACUCGCGGCCAUUGGUUAAGCAUUUGCUCUCUGUAUCGAUAGUAUUCUAACUUCAUUGUUGAUGUCGCUAUUUUACUCUUCGAAAUAAUCCUGUGCGCAUACUCCACCUUAAAUACAAAUAAACAUUUCAAUCUAUAAAAAAAAAUAUGUAUUACUUUCAUAAAAGCACGACUCUUAAUUAAUCAAAGCUUAUUUAAUAUUCAAUGACAGGGAAAGAUGCAUAUGUGAUUGAAAACAACAGAGAAUUUAACUUUCUCACCCAUAGAAAGAAUUGUAUACGGCAUUGCCUCUGUAAAUUGCAGUUAUAAAGACAAGCAUACGUGUCCCAUCGAAUCAACAUAGAAGAUGUUUUUAUUAUUAUUAUUAUUAUUUUCUUCUCUUGUUAAAAUUACUCUCUCUUCUCUUUUUUUUCUUUUUCUUUUUUUUUACCCUCACUAUCAAUACUCGAUAGACGUGAUGAACAUACUCUAUAUUCCAUAAUUAAUUAAUGCAGAUUAACUAAUUUCACGAUUAAGUUUAUUAUGAUUGGGAGUGCAUUCUCUCUCUCUAUUGAUAAGAUACACAUUCAAUUACUAUAAUAACUAAUUAGGCUUUGAAUUUAAAUUUUUUGGUGUUAAUUAUUAAGUCCUUUAUCACUUGUGCUAGAGACUGUUUAAUGAGUAAUUAGGCUCUGAUAAGAUACCCGCAUAUAUGAUGAAUAUUCCAUUUGUUAGUCGCAUAUAAUAAUCCUCUCUUCUAAUCUGUAAUUAGGCUCUACUGGACACCCCAAAAACCCGGUCCAGCUCUCUCUAUCCGGUUCAACAAAUUGACCUACCACCAAGAAAAUAAAAUAAUAAUAAAUAAUUAAAUAUAAAAAACUUUCUAAAUUGAGUAAAUCAUAUCACUUACUACAACACUUAACUAAAAUAAUAAAAAAUUAAUCUCUUUGUAGCUCACAUGUUUGGUCUAAUUAGAGCUUCGUGAACACAUAAUUCAAGUGAAAUUAAGUAAUCUCCUUGAACAGCAUUGGUAAAUUUUUUAUGAAAACUUUGUCUGAUUUUUUUUUCUUAUUUAAUUGCUACUUUUAAAAGUAAAAAAAAAAUAGAAAAAGUACAUAAAAAUAAUCUAAUUUUUUGUUUAUUUGGUUUAAAUAAUUCAUUAAAUUCAAAUUAUUCUAUAUGUCUGAAAAUCAUUACUUCAAUAUCUAUCUUGUCCAAAAUUAUUAUAAUUUUUUUAUGUUAAAAAAUUUUAGAGAAUUAAUACAGUUCCAAAACCCAAAACCCAUCAUUGGCACAAGGUUGUAAUCAAUGAAAUGACCAAACUGCCCUUUUUAACUACCUCUCUCUCUAUUUUUCCCUUCUAUAUAUCUUUCCCCUCUCUCUUCUCACUCCUUUUAAUACAAAAAAAAAAAAAAAACAAACAAUCCAAACCUCUUCUUCUUCUUCGUCUUCUUCUUCUUCUUCCCCACCAGCUCCCACCUCCAAAACCCUCCAUUAAUGGCGGAGCUGGUGGAGGACCCCAACUCGAUCCCCCGCGUCGUCUCCAUCCUCUCCUCCCUCCUCCACCGCGUCGCGGAGCGCAACGACUCCCUCCUCCUCCGCCGCCCCUCCGCAGCCGCCGCGCCGCGCCACCGCGCGGCGGCGUUCCACGGGCUCACGAAACCCUCGAUCUCCAUCAAGAGCUACCUCGAACGCAUCUUCCGCUUCGCCAAUUGUAGCCCCGCGUGCUACGUCGUCGCCUACAUCUACCUCGACCGCUUCCUCCAGCGCCACCCUUCCGUCGCCGUCGACUCCUUCAACGUCCACCGCUUCCUCAUCACAAGCGUCCUCGCCGCCGUGAAAUUCAUGGACGACGUGUAAGUACUUGUUCCGACUCAAUCCUCAUCGCCAUUGGCAUCUAAUGUAGAAUCACGUUGUUGCGAAAUUGCUGCAGUGUAAUCCUCGAGGGUUUUAGGUUUGGUGAUUUGAUGGAUCGAAUAGAUAUUAGUACAACUAUUUCAGCUAAGCGGUUACGGAUUGUGGAAUUGACUAAACACCCAAAUUGAAUUGGAUUUUGGAAGUGAUCUUGGCGAAAUUGCACGAAGAAUUAAAAGUGGAGACCAAGGUUGAUAAUGGGUUUUCAUUGAAUUCUAUUAGGGAAGUGGAAUCGAGUAAAACCCUAACUGAAUUAGAUUUGUAAGUGAUCUUAGCGUAAUUUCGUGAAAAAAUUCUAGUACAAAAACAGAGAAUGAUGAUGGUUCCUCAUAGAAAUCUUUUGCUUCACUUCAUUGGAGAAGUGGGAUUGCGUAAAACUGAAAAUUGAACUCUAUUUGGGAGUUGUUAUGGUGAAAUGAUUGAGCAAUUCUCACUCGGUCUUUAAUCUUCUUCAAUGUCAGUGAGAAUUCAGAUGUGUUUCAGUGACUACUCUGUAUGAUUGAGGUCCUUCUACUAUUCAAAAUUUUAAUGAUGACAAUAAUUGAGGUCCUUUGCUUCUUAUCAUUCAAGUCCGCUAAUACUGUUCAAUUCAUUAUAUGCGAGUUAUGAAAAAGUUUCACCCAGGUUUUAAAGUUUUCAAUUGAUUGCUUUCCUGUGCCCACUCUCCUUUUUUGCCGCUGCCAACUAGGAAUGAGGUGGGCUUGUCUUCUUACCUCAUUCUCUUUUUAAAGUGCAUCUUACUCAUCCUUUCUGGGGGGGGUUGGGUUAUUUUAAUGCUCUAAGAAAGAAGGAUCUAUCACAUGGUUUUUCUAAUUACCACCCUUAAGGUGCAUAGUGAUUGGUUAGUGCCAAUGUGAUUCCAUUACGCCAUUCAUGAAUGUGGACCCAAAACUUUGCUUUUGCCCUCACCUUUUCCUAUGGAUUGAAUACAUGCCAGUUGUGGGAUGGGGACGAUUUAAUAGCCGCUGUUAAAUUCUUAUGAUUUCAGGAUUUUUAUCUUCAGCUAAAGUUAAAACCAAAGUUAAAACCAUUGCUCAUUAUGAGAAGUCAUUAGAAGUGAUGAUAAGGGCUCGGGAUAUCAAAUCAGGUCAAUUAGUCCGUCAGUUGGAUGUUUGGUGGUCUGAUGGUCACUUUUAACCGCAAAUGAACCAAUGAGUAGGCGCAGAAGAUUCAACUCACCACAGAAGGGACCGAGAGGACUGCUGACAUGUGGGGUUGUUUGAAAUCUAAACUGCUUGGAGAUAAUUAGAAAUUUGGUAUUCUACUUGAGAUGAUUUCAUUAUACAAGCAAGAAAGGUGCAGUGUCUCACUUUCUUAAACAGUACACGAUGCAUUAAGAUAACAGGUCAUGCACACAACAUCGCACCAUAAAUCUCUCAAACCCAAUCUGAUACCUCUUGUAAAACUUGAAUUUUAUUACACUAAUGUUAAGUAGGUUACCAUGUGAGUAAAAUUCUUCCUCGUCUACGGCAUCAUACAUAUUGGUCAAUGCAAGGUCGAUCGAAUAGGAAAUAGCCUUAAGAAUCGUCAUGUACUUUUUUAGAGGGCGAGUUAAUUUGGUAGGCAUGUGAUCGAGAGCUAAUUGUUUCCAUUACUCACUGUCCCGUUCAUCGAUAGUUCAUUAAUAAGUCAACAUUGACUUGCCUAGUCACCCUCGUCACAGGUAACUCAAAUUCACAAUUCGUAUUGCUACCAUCAGCAGAGAUGAACAAAGAUCCAACUCUGCUAAUUUUAUCUCACUGGCACUUAUUAUGUCUUAUUAAAUAAUAUAUCGUUUCAAUUGCUUCUAGAUGCUACAACAACGCGUACUAUGCAAAGGUUGGAGGGAUCAGCUUGAUGGAGAUGAAUUACUUGGAAGUGGAUUUCUUAUUCGGCGUCGGCUUCGAUUUGAAUGUGACCCCUGUAAUCUUCAACUCGUACUGCUCCAUUCUUCAGAGCGAAAUGGUGUACUUAGAAGCAACCCCUGCUCCCCCAAGACUACAUUGCUGCUUGUCUGAGGAAGAGUCCAGCAGCUGCCAACAGAAGCAGCUAGCUGUGUGAGUUUGUAUUUUUUUUUUUUUUUUUUUUUCUGUACAUAGAUCUGUAGCGAACACUUUUUAUUAGUUAUCUUGGUGGGCAGUGGAUUAUACUGUUUUGUUUAAAGUUCCUGUUCCCUUAGAUCCAACCACUACUCAUGUGGAGCAUAAGCCUCUGUCUUUUUAAUCUUAAUCCUUCUUGGCUUUGUCCUUUUCCUCUUCUUUUUCCAUUUUUCAGUACGUGGUUUUGUGAUUUACUUGUGUGAUGAUGGUGUGUAAGAAAAAGGGGGUGGUAAAAAAAGAACAAAAGGAAGCUUUUGUUUAGAGCAUCAGCAUGUUUUCUUAUGAUAGGCCUCUUAUUAUUAUUUUUUGUUUGGUGAUUUUACCCUCAAAAUUAAGCUUAGCUGAAAGAGUCGGAAAAUAUUACCAACUCAAAGAUUUUACUGGUUUGAUGACCGGCUAAUUCACUAUUUUUAGCUAUUUUUAAGCGCCAUUUCACAUUUGACCAAUUCCUCCGAACCUGUUCGAUCGAUUAUUGUUUGUAUAAUACAGUUGUGCGCAAAACAUGGCAAAUAUGGCUCCAUGUAUUUUGAUGAUUGAGCCUAGUAUUAAGCAAAGGGCCAAUACAAACUCAUAAUUAACAUCAAUAAUUUAUGGAAUGCAUUCUCCUUAAUGGAAGAGUUUUGUAUUGCUUUACAAAUUAAAUUUAAAUUAUUAUUAUACCAAUUAAAUUUCACUAAAUAGACAAAAGCAUACAUAGAUGGACAUGUGUCCUAACGCCUAUAGUACGAUGUGCCAACCACUACAAAAAGGGCAAAAUACUUGCAUCUCAUGGGGUGGGCUCCACCCCAUGCCCCAUGCCUAAUAAUUAGACACAGUGGAUCUUCGAGAAGAGGAACGUGAGGGUUUGGGUACAUACACAACUAACACAGGAUUUGCAAGGGUGUUUGGAGCCCAUUGCAUGUUUUGGUAACGUGGCGUGAGGAUACUAAAUUGUGUAUUAUUAUCAUUAGAAUUAAUUAAAGCCCUCAUAAAGGCCUCCAUGUAGCUCCAUUUUUCCAUGCUACUUGUAUUUGUACACAACAGAGGACAAACCCCUUUUCUCCUACAAUUGUAGGGAAAAUGGCAUAGCGACCCCCUCAACUCAACUAACUAAAAUGCCUCAAAUAAUAAGUACAAUUAAAAGUUAAGAAAGAGUAAAUUGAGAGCCAAAUUUUUUAACAUAAAUAUAUUGAAAAGCUCUAUUUGGGUGACCUGGAGAAGAACAUGGGCAUAGGAUUUUGCAAGUUGGUUAAUUUAUGUAUAAAUUAUAAAGAAGACAACCAGGCAUUAGUAUUCACAUGUGAUCAGCUCUCCUGAUCUCCUCCUCACAACAUGCAACUCCUCACAUGGCCCUCUCAACAUGCACAGUGAUCCACAACAAUUGGUGCCUCACCAUUUAUCUCUAAUUCAAAGGAAACAAACCCAUGUGAUCUUUUUCUCCUGUGUUUACGUUUCCAAAUAUAAACCACCCAACUUUGGCCUUUGUGGAGUACAACUUUUUCUUUUUUUCCUUGUUCUUUUCUUUUUCCAAAGGGAAAAAAAGCCAAUUUUCGGUGCUUCAUGGGUAUAAGAUGAUUCUAUGCUUUUCCAGCUCCCCUUUUGGUCGUUUCCUAGCCAACUGUGUCCGUCUCUUCCCAAAUUCAAAUUUGAGGAGAAAAGGGGGUAAUUUUACUUAGAAUUUUACUACACCCACACAUAAUUACAUGCAUAUAAUUAAAAUUAUAUUAUUCAUGUGAUUUAAGAGACUAUUAGUUGUAAGAUUCACACGAAUAAAAAUGAAAAUUUAUAAUAAUAAUUAAAAAUCCUAUUGCCUGCAAAAUUUAAUUACAUAUAUAGAUAGAUGCAAAAUUGUGGCAAAUCACAUGUGUGAUGUCUCGAUAGGUUCGCAUCAGAUGAAAAAAGGAAUUAUGAGUGAAAAUAUAAGAAUCAGAGAUUCUAAUACUAAUAAUCGAACUAAAGAAUUUUGGACCGAUAAUUUAGUAUUUAACGAGUUAUUGAUGCUGGUGAGCUGAGUCGUUACAAUAUGCUUCCUAUAUUAAUAUGGACUAAACCUUGGGCUCAGAUGUUUCUAAUCCGGGCUAAAUUGGAUUAGCUAUGCACAAGCAUAAUAAACAUUUGUAACAGUCCCAGUAUAUUAAAUUAUCCUUUGUGCACAUGAUGCGGAGAUGGAGGACCAGCUUCAGCCCAAUCUAAAACGCUUUUGGGUUGGGCCACAUUUGUUGGGCCCAAACCACUAAUACCUUGGAAUUGAAGGGGCUUUUUUCCCUUUUUUUUUUUAAUUUUAAUAGAUACUCGAGGACAAAAGCAUUGGGGCUAAUCGCACCGUGUAGAUAAUUUUUCAGCCCCAUCUCCACCUUUUUAAUUUACCGAGUGCUACAUAAACUUUUCAUAAAAACAGAAAGAAAGAACUGUAACGCUCCAAUGGUUCCGUAUCGGAUGAAAAAUUAAUUUUAAUUAAAAUAUAUGAGGUCUACAUGCUAGUAAUAACAACUGGAUUUCAAUAUUUUGGGCCGGUGGUUUAGGUCUAACGAGUUAUUGUUCUUAGCGGGUCGGAUUGGUACAAUUGGUAUCAGAACCAAAUACCAGCCAGAAGUGAUAAAAUGCUACACCAAUGGAUUUGGUGGAAACCACCUCUAGAAUCUCACAUCGCUCGUUAAUUCUGAUUUGCAACGGAUUUGGUGAGAACUGUCUAUUGAAUCAGUAGUAAUUCUGGUCUGCAAUAAAUUUGCCCUUUGAAUAAUACCACAUCGGAUAAAAAAUUGAUUCUGAUUAAAUAUAUAAGGCCAACAUGUUAAUAAUAAUAAUUUGAUUUAAAUAUUUUGGGUUGAUGGUUUGAAUCCAACGAGUUAUUGUUUUUAACGUGUAUGGUCCUCUCAAGAAAAAGAGGGAGGAAAAAGAAGAAAGCUUAGGAAUCAUCUAACAUGUCAAAAAGAAGAAGGAAAAAAAUAAAAAAGUUGCUGGGGAGAGAAUCGAUCUUCUAAAUUUAAAAUCUUGUUGCUUUAGAAUUUAAGUGGAGAUCAUUUUUAAAAAUUAAACAAAGCAUAUAACUUACUAUUUUUAUUUCUCUCUCUCAAAAGGAAAAAAAAAAAAAAAUCUAGGGCAUCAAAUAGCCCACAUAUCUUUCUUCAUUUUUCUUAUUAUGCUAAGGAAGAAUUUACCUGUUUCUUCUGCACGCCAUGCUUAGCUGUUGAAUUUCUCAGUCUCUUACAAGUGUAUAAAAUAUUCGAAAUAUUUUCUUAUAGUAUAUAACUGAGCGCAUACAUAAGGUAAUCAUAUCUAAUAGCUUUCUGACUGUCAAGUCAUACCAUGAUUAUGCAUGUGUGCUAAAUUUACAUCAUGUAGCAGUUACGUAUCCUCUACAAGCACUCUUGUAGGCUUCAGUUGUUACCGUUUGCACGCCGCGGCCAAUCGUUACGCGAUCUACGGUAUGAGUUCCGGUUUCCGCCGCCGCCAAAUCCACCUCUGGGACUCCCACCAUAUCCACCGCCGAAUCCAUAUCCUCCGCGGCUGCUACUGCUACUGCCACUGCCAUCUCCGCCUCCGCCUCCGCCUCCGCCGCCACUACCAUAACCAUAACCACCGGAUGAACCCGAACCAGACCCGAAUCCAAACCCGAAACCCUGCCCACUCCCGCUCGAACUCCGGCCCGAGCCCGAACCAGAACCAUAACCCCACCCAACUCCCGGGCCCGAGCCCCAUCCCCAGUUGUAGUUCCAGCCACCACCGGGCCCCGAGCCUUGGCCCGAUCCAGAGUCUCCUGUCCACGCACCGCCGCCACCAGGAGGAGGUGGUGUCGGCGGCGUCUGAGCCGUCGGAUCCGGCGCUUGUGCGCCGUCCAUGUCGUCCGCAGAGGAGAGAGCGAAGGCAAAGGCUGAUAUUAAGGUGACGAGGAGAAUAAUCUUUUGCAUUUCGUUUUGUGCUUUUUUGUUUUGUUUUGUUUCUGGGAAUGUUGGUUUAGUAUGUUUAGAUAUUUAUUUAUAGGAUGUAUAUAACCUGAAUUGAAUACCAAGUUUGUUUGUGGUUAGCAGAUACGUAUGAAUGGGGCUCUCGUGACUGCGACUUCCACAGCCCACACAACGACACAACAGAGCGGAGUGCGGUUUUAAUUAAAGAGACUUUUUUUCUUUGUGUGUGUGGAUAAGAUGUGUCGAAACUUCCUCCACCACCACCACCGGCCCAGCAUAAAGUUAAUACCUCCCAUUUCUUUUUUUCCCUGUCUUUCGACGCUUCUUUUAUCCAAACCACUGCAGCAAUCUACUGACAAAAUCUCUGCUCUUAUUUCUUUUGGUUUUUUAUUCGUUGGCCUUUCAGGAGUGCGAAAAGUAAAAAAUCUGCUAUAUUCUACACACCUAAGAAUAAAAACAAUAACCGUAGAGCUGCAACGCCACACACAGAGUUCAUUGAAUUCGAUAGUUUUCUUUUCUUUUUCUUUUUUUUUUUCUUACGACCAUUUGGUUUUGGCUUGGAAGUGCCCGAGACAAGGAUUAGUGCAUAUCGCGCACGCUUUGAAGAAGCUUUGAUAGUCAGAGGUGUGGCGUGCGUAUGAACCCCUUGGAUGGGUCUGUCACGUACGUGUCGCGUUCAAUAUCAGAACAAUUGUUUGCACACAUACAAGCGGGUGGCUAAACUAGAGUUCCAACCAGCCAAAAUGUUGAUUACAUGCAACAAAUGAUUUAAGAAUUAAGAAUUGAGACACUUGUAGCAACUACCGAUGAUAAAAUAUAUAGUUUGCAGUGUUAUAAAUAAAAUAUAUAGUUUGCAAUGCUACGAGUCUACAAACACAUGUGAAAAGCAUAACAUGCGCGGUAUAGAUCCACACGAAGCCUUCAAACAUAGACACUUGUUCUUUCAAUUCUCACGCUUCACAUCUUCGAGUACAUGCACCACAAAUCAACAUAUAGGCUCGAAAAGUAGUCAUUGAAUGCAAAAGUGCCACAAACCCUCACAUUUACUGUCCAAGCUAACGCCAUGACAACAACCUGUGCCUCUCGCAAGACCACAAACAUGAGAAUUUUUAAUGAUAAAAGAUAUUAAAAGUAUAAAUGAAUCAUCCUGGCCAACCCUAGCUGUCAAAGUAUAAAACCUCAAACUAUAUAGGAAAUUUUCAAGGAAGUGAUGCACACAAACAUCCAGUAACAUAAACAAUAGAAUGCAAUAAAGUGAGAAACAAAAUGAUAAUAACAAUUACCCUUCACACAACCAACAUAUCAAAUUCUUUAGAUGGCCGAGCAUUAACCAUGAUGACGAGUCCUCCAAUUCAACAAUGAGGAAUACACUAUCUUCCUUAUUCACAAAAGCAACUGUACUACAAUGCUCAAAUAAUAUGAAACGUUGUAAUCAGGCAGAUAAAAAAAAUAUAGGUUUACAGAUAUUCCUUCCAAACAUCACACUAAUAAAGCAACCAAAAAUGUUAGCAAGGAGAAUUUAAGAGUCAUUAGAAGACAUUUUAGCAAGAUAGAAAAAUACAUAACUCCAUAUUGGAAACCCUCCAACCUCAAGCCAACACAGACCAAAAAAUUAGCCAACUAAUAAGAGCAGGAUAAACAUGAAGUUGAGACUGAGAACACUCUUUCCAUAGUUAUUGCACUUCAAAAAUUAAACAACAUAAACCUUUUUCUCCUGGCAGAAUAACUAAUGUAAUCGCAUAAACCGGCUCCGUGGAUAAACAAUUCAAACUGAUCCACAGGUUCCUAUCAAACAGCGAAAUAUCAACUAGUGAUUUACUCUAGGCCUAAUCAUAGCAUUACUGGUCACUGCAAUCAUAGCUACCAGCAACGUGGCAUUAGGCCUACUGCAAAGAAAACACUGCAUAAAACUGACUACAAAUGAAAGCUUCGCAGAAGAUCCCUCAGUGACCCUUUUAAAAUCACACACACAGCUGAUCAGACUAAUUCAAUGAUAAUCCAUCACUCAAUCUUUUGAUCCAAUCACCAGCAACAAAAACACAGAAGGUUUUUGAGAUGUGGGGAUUGGAAGAAUUGAGCUCAGGAAGAAGUAGAAAGAAGCAGCUGCUGCUAAGUGUCAUACGGCACUUCCUAUCUUAAGGCGUUUCUUCCUCAUCGGGAUAUAACACGAAGAAUCUAUAAGUGGAUUUAAAAAGAACAAUCGACACUACUAGUAAUACAGGCAAAGUAAUAAAUACAAUAAACUACAGUAUACAUGAAUUGGUGCUGGUUCAAACAUUCAACAAUAAUGUACUAUACUUUACAUGCAAAUAAUUUGACAACAUACAAAACAAACUUAUAUCAAGCAGAAAACAACACUUGUUUCAGCAAUAGCAAAAGAUACAAGAAAAUAGCUAUCUAAAAUAACAGUAGCAUGGCCCUAUAUUCUAAUAGAUCUUGUAGAAAAAAUGAGAGAUAUAGAUCGAUAUACAGCCUCCUAAUGUAACCUACAUUUAAAUAUCAAAUUAUAUAUAAAACACUCAUGCUCGCUCACAACUUUAGUGUAAAAUAGUCAAAUUUGCACCACAUUUUAUCCAAUUACAAAUAAGAUUCAGAAAUGUUUGUCGACAAACCUCUUACUUACAUUCAUUCUCUUGCUAUAAGAAAAUUUUAUACCAAAAGAUAUUUUAAAUAAAUCCAAGCCAGCAUGAGAUUAAUAUAAAAAAUUCUAACAACUUAAGCCUCAGAUAGCCAGACAUAGCUUGCAUCAUACAAGGUUUUUCAACCUCAGCCGGUAAUUCCAACUUUGUUAAAGAUAUCAUCAUAGGCCUAUUUAUCUACUUAAUCCUAUUCUGUAACACAAUUUUGAAAAAAAAAGGAUACAACAUUAUAUAGAAUUAAAAUGCAACAAAUGUAAUAUAACAGGAUACUUGCAGAGUAAAUAAUAAGAACGACCCAAUGCAAUGUAUCAUAAUGCUUAGACUUAUUUUUUUUUCUUGUUCUUUUCACAAUAGCCUACUGAAAUAUAGACAAAGUGAUUUAAAAAAAUAGAAAUAUAGAUUUAACGACCAUAGUCAUCAGAAUAAAAAGGUUUUUCUCAUCCACAAACCGAUUAUCAAUCGAUUUGUGUAGGAAGGUGUCCUAAGAUUAUAUAAUUCUCGUCACCUGACAUAGGCCAAUUUAGGAUAUAUAAAUAAAAAAAAUAUAAGUUUCUUUCGAAAUAAUAAAUAAAACUAUAUUAAAGCGAAAAAAAAGAGGUACAAAAAAUCCUGAUUCAGAAGCAAAUGACUUUGAGACAUCACUUGGACAAAAUAAUCCUCAGUUCAAGUGUUGGAUUAAAGUACAAAUUACUUCAUCAUCAUCUAUAUAAUGAGGAACGAGAAAAAUUGAACCAAAAUCAAAAAGAAAAAGAACAAAAAUACAAGAUCAGGAGAUCAUAUACUCAGUGAUGGCGAUUGAGGUUUAUGGUUCGAUUCCGCCAGCGAGAGUCCUCAAUGUUUUCAGUAGAGGGAGCUCUUUUAUCCUCAUCGCAUUAUUCUCCUCUCAAUUUAAAAAAAAAUCGAGAAAAUAACAAAAAAAAAGCCACAAAAACAUCAAAAAUUCGAUGAAAUUUUGAAACCCUAAGAGGAAUCGAUUGCUCGGUUCAGCGGGGUAUCGACAUACAAAUCCCUCGAGAGAGAGACCUGUGAUCUGGUCUGUUGAGCUUGAAAUUUAUGGAGUCGUCAUAGCAAUCUCGAUCCCGAUCGAACAAAUUCUAGAAAAAAGAAAAUUCUACUCUCCACACCGAUCAAUAAAAAAAUCUAGGGGGGAAACAUCUCUAACAGUACAAAAGAAAUAGAAGAAUCGCACGAAAAAAAAAAAAAAAAACCCUAGAAAAUGCGGAAGACGCCUUUGUUGCUGGGAUGAGAGAGGUUUUUAUAACGAUAUCGAUUAGGGUUUUGAAGAGAUCGAUUAGGGUUUCGAAGAGGAGGCCGCAAUUAAGAAUGAGGUGAAACGGGCCUUUGGGCCUCGAUCUAGGGCCAGGCUUAGGUCCUCCUCCGAAAAU